ACCCUCCUCGGCCACAAAGAUUCCUUCCGUGGCUAGCACCUUCAUGAGGCGUGACAAGUAGGGCUGUUUGCUUGGAGGGAGGGGGAGGGUGGCAAGCAGGUCGGGCAAGGAGGCGCUGCCACCACAACGGUGGAGAGCAUCAGCAACUCCAAGCUUGACAGCACUGUGCAAUGCCAUGGACUUGAGGUAGCCCAGGGAGUGGCGCACGAGGUCGGCCUCAGCUUGCAUAAGCUCGGCGCUGCUUGCCAUGGCCAUUUCGUUAAUUGGUUUUUGCCUAAGGGGAUCGAUGAAAACUUGGAUGAGUAUUCAAUCUCAUAAAGGUAGGAUUUAUAGGCCCGCUGCCAGCAGCCAUCUGAAAGAAUUGUAGCUUUCCUCCCACAUAUUUUUUAACCCAUUGGCUGCACCUAUCAGAUGUAUACAAUUUAAUUUUAAGAAGUUAGGCUGGUGGCAUCGAAUGUACUCUAGAUAAUAUUUGUGAGGAAGAAAAUAUCGUUUUUUUUUCAAGAAAGAGUCCAGACAACAGUCCAUCCAUUCACUAUGCUCGAGACAAUAUCAUUUUCUGAAACUAAGUCGAUCGAAGAAAACAGCCGAUCUAUCAAGCCACUCUGAACAUAAGACAAGAGAAGGGCAUAUGUAUGUAUUGCUUUAUUGUAGAUACUAUACAUGCAGAUCAUCUAGCCGAUGAGCUAGUGAGGUCAUAGAAGCCGUGCGUAAAGAAAGGCAAAGGCGGGUAGAUGCGCAGGCUCUAUAGCACAACAUCAUCCAGGCUCUCGAGCACUUUUAUUUCUAAAAGUGGGAUAGCACCAACAAAACAGAAAGGAUAAAGAUAGGUAGAUGGUUAAACGUAAGAAAUGAAACAUCUAACCUAUAGAUGGCCCAAUCGCUAAAGUCCAGGAGAACCUCUCUAAUACUAUACGUAAUACAUAAGAAUCGAUUAACCAAAAUAGUGGUGUGCCUGUAGAGUGUGGAUGAGGACUGCAACAAGAUCAUAGUAAAGACAAUAUCCUUCAAGGGUGUAAUGGUUUUUUUAUAUUAAAAGCAAUUCUGUGACAUAAAAAAAUGGACCAACAAAACACUACAGCCCAACAUGACUGAGUGGUUUCAAAGCUUGAUCAAUUCAAGUAAGAUUCUCCACAUACAUUUUAAAUACUAGUGGCGGCUAGGAUAUUAUAAGCGGUGCCACAAUAUUAUAAGCUAUGUUGACCAGAUAUUAUGAUUUUUAUUAUUAAAAGGCAAUUCUCGAACAAAUGCUUGAUGGUCUCACUAGAGUCGUAAGAAAAACAUUUUCUAGAUCCUUUCCAAUUGCAACUUAUUAGAUUGUCCUUCAUUAGUGGCGCACCCUGCCUUACAUACUAAAGGAAAUUUUAACCUUACUUGGGAUUUUCAACUAAUAUAUGAAUUUACUAUGACAUCUAAGAGAAGACUCUACACCGGUCUUGUACUUGAACCGUAUAGAUAACUGCUAACUGUUUUCGGUUUGCAACAAAAGGUGUCACAACCUCUGAUAAUUGAACCCGUGAUAACUGCUAACUGUUUUCGGUUUGCAACAAAAGGUGUCACAACCUCCGAUCAGGCACUACUUUGUUGUCUUAGGUUAUGGACCUCCCUAGCUCAAUGAGUGGCAGAUUUAUCUCAAGGACCUGAACCAGCAUGAAAUUAGAUUAGCAGGCAACAAUAAUUGUAAAUAAUCGCGUAAUGGGCAUUGAAAGGUUUGUUCCGUAGCGAAUUCUUUCCUAGAACCAUGUCUUCACUCAACUAAGAACCUUGGGACGGACCAUGCUUAUAAAAUUUCCUAACUUCAAUUGCCCCAUGCCAAUUUCUCCUUGGCCACCUAGUUUUUCCUAUCCACCAAAGGCUAGUUUACACCCAAUAGCUAGAAUAUUUUGGCUGGUUCCAUAUUUUGGUGCCUUUGUUUGAACCGCAUCCUGUAGUCUACCAUCACGCGUGUGUAGACUAACAACCCAUGUGCCUUUAAAAUUCACGGGUAAUAGCUACUGCAGUCAUCCACAUGGCCAUGUGUCUGAACGGUUGCAUGAUGAUCAACUGCUCUCAAGCAUGAUUCUUCGUUGAACGGGGCAACUUCAUGGGAUCUUUUGUCAAACUCCUUUUUCUCAAUGUUUUUUUAAAAACAACCUUGCCUAAUUUAUACGCCUGCUACUAGCAGCCGUGGAUGCAGCCAUGUGCAUCACACGAGUACUUCUUUGUAACGUCGUUCUCUCACAUUGUCUCAACGAUUGGGAGGAGGUACCAGAUGUAUACAAGUAAAUUUUAUAUGAAACACCACACGUUCAUUCAUUAGGGUCACACGUAUUGAUAGCUCAGCAUGGUCUGAUUGUGCGCAUCUCAUGUCAAGGUUGGCCGCAGAUUAUUAGUUAUUACAGGUCAUCAGUUGUAAUUAGACUAAUCUUUCAUUCAGUCAAAAUGUUUAGCCGCCCUUGUGUGAUCAUCACAUAAAUUAAUUGUCCGGAUUUUCUGACUUGUGCGUAUGCAGAUAAGGUCCAAGGUGGGAAAUUGGUUUACAUAAUAUAUGUGUUGAUCACCUUCAUUAUUGUUUUGGAUUCACUUACACCUUAAUUACGUACAUGUCACCAUUACUUAAUUACCACAUGUGUAGACUAACAGCCCAUGUGCCUUUGUAAUUCCCCGGUAAUAGCUACCGUAGUCACCCACAUGGCAUGUGGCUGUAAGGGUGCAUGAUGACCAGUAGCUAUUCGUUGAACCAGACAACUUGAUGGGCUGUUUUUUCCUCCUUUUUCUUAGCAGGAGUAUCGCCAUUGUAUUUAAUUAUGCGAUUAUAUUAUUUUAUAUAUCAAUAUUUGAGCUAUUUGUCCACAUAAAAGUGACUAAUAAUAUAGAAGAGAGCAGACGAUAUGUCGACAAUUGCCCGAGUUCCUAAAAGCAUUUACCGUGUGCGUAUAAUCCGUUCCUUGAUGUGCAGCUUCCCUCACGACUAUGCGAGAAAAGUUUGUAGCUGCUCAAACUGUGGAAAAUUAAUUUGCACACAAACACCAUUUUUCUAUUAUUUUCUAAAAAUAGCAUUGCCUAAUUUAUAUGCAUGCUACUGGCAAUGAUGGAUAUAGCGAUGUGCAUCGCAUGAGGACUUCUUUGUAGCAUCCCUCUAUCACUUUGUCUCAACCAUUGGCAGGAGGUACUAGAUAUAUACAAGUAAAUGUAAUAUGAAACAACACACAUUCAUUCAUAAGGGUGACACAUAUUGAUAGGUCAGCAUGGUGUGAUUGUGCACAUCUCUUGUAAAGGUUGGCUGUGGAUUAUUAAUUAUUACAGAUCUUCACUAGCUUGUAAUUAGAUUCAUCUAUUGUUCAGUCAAAACGUUUAACUGCCCUGGUGUGAUCAUCACAUAAAUUAAUUGUACGGAUUUGCUGACUUGUGCAUAUGCAUAUAAGGUUUGAGGUGGGAGAUUGGUUUACAUAAUAUGUGUGUUGAUCACAUUCAUUAUUGUUCAGGAUUCGCUUAGACGCUAAUUACGUACAUGUCCACCUCAUGUCCUCAACCAUUAUUUAAGUAUUUCAGAAGACAAUUAGUUAGCUGGGACACAUACUGGAUUAACUCGCUGCUCGCGUCUCUAUCAUUCUAAAUGGGGCGACACAUAUGUACGUGGCGAAGACCAAGACUUACGAGCUCCGCAUCAAUUUCAUGUUUGAUCUGCCCACCCUCAUCUCUUGCAGUUCAUAUGUGCAGCGAAAACUUGGUACCUCCUUCCUCUGAAUAGAUGCCUCCAAAACAUGAGCAGCCAUCUGCCUAUGCACGUGUGUAAGUAAAGUAUGCAUGCGCAUGAACCACUGAUUUUCCAUUGAACAGUUGUGCAUACCAAUUUUACUUUGUUAUCAUCCCAUCAGGCUAGUGUAUUGUCGUAAUACUGAAAUCAUUUUCUGAAACUAAGUCGAUCGAAGAAAACAGCCGAUCUAUCAAGCCACUCUGAACAUAAGACAAGAGAAGUGCAUAUGUACGUAUUCCUUUAUUGUAGAUACUAUACAUGCCAAUCAUCCAGGCCAUGAGCCAGUGAGGUCAUGGAUGCCGUGCGUGAAGAAAGGCAAAGCCGGGUGGAUGCGCAGGCUCUCUAGCACGACAACAUCCAGGCUCUCGAGCACUAUGGCACUUAGGCAAGGCAUGCCGCAGAUGCCCUUCUUGGAUGCCGUGGUAGGCAGGACGGCGCGGAGGUGUCUUUUGGCCUUUGUUUAAAAACACACAAAACCUAUAGUUUAUUUCUAAAAGUGGGUUAGCACCAACAAGACAGAAGGGAUAAAGAUAGGUAGAUGGUUAAAUGUAAGCAGUGAAACAUCUAAGAUAUAGAUGGCCCAAUUGCUAAAGUUCAGGAUAACCUCUCUAAUACUAUAUGUAAUACAUAAGAAUCGAUUGACCAAAAUAGUUGUGUGCCUGUAGAGUGUGGAUGAGGACUGGAACAAGAUCAUAGUAAAGACAAUAUCCUUCAAGGGUGUAAUGGUUUUUUAUAUUAAAAGAAAUUCCGUGACAUAAAAAAUGAACCAACAAAACAGUACAGGCCAACAUGACUGAGUGGUUUCAAAGCUUGAUCAAUUCAAGUAAGAUUGGCCCCAUACAUUUUAAAUACUAGUGGCGGCUAGGAUAUUAUAAGCGGUGCCACAAUAUUAUAAGCUAUCCUGACUGGAUACUAUGAUUUUUAUUUUGAGAAGGCCAUUCACUACUAGGGAAAACCUUAUACACAGAAUGUUACCAGUAGCGCUGUACAAAAUCAAACGCUACUGCUACUUAGUAGCAGCGCGCGUAAAUAAACCGUGCUACUGCUAUGACUUUAGUAGUAGCGCGUACAAGCGAAAUGCACUGCUGCUAUGUUUGAACUGGGCGCACAUGGCUAGCCCAACCUAGCAGUAGCGCGUAUACUGGCCCAGCGCUACUGCUACUCUCCUUAGCUGUAGCGCACUUACGUGUAAGGCAUUGCUGCUAACGGAAAUAAAAUAAAGUGAAAAACAAAUAGAAAAGUAAAUGAAAAUAAAAGAAAGAAAAAAAAUAAAAUGUAAAUAAAAAUAAAAGAAAAAAGGAAAAAAAGGAGAAAGGAAUAGCAGUAGCGGGGUUCAGGAAACGCGCUGUAGCUAACUUAGCUAUAGCGCGUUUCGGAAACGCGCUACCGUUACGUUUCACUUAAACAGCGGUCCCCCCCCCGCCCCCCGGCCACCACACUUCUUCCCCAAAUCCCUCGCCCUCGCCGCCGUCUCCCCAAUUUGCCGUCACCCCACUUCGCCGCCGUCUCCUGCCGGCAUGGACGCCCGCAACCUCACUGUCUCCCCCCGAGGCCGCCGUCAUCCUCACCGCCGCCGCCCGAGGCCGCCCUCGACGUCACCGUCGGCGCCCUCUACCUCACCGCCGCCCGAGCCCGUCCUGGACCGCCAUUGCCCGUGCCCGAGCCCGCCCUCUCCGCCCCUGCCUCCGUCACCGAGCACCUCCCCGCCACCGUCUCUCCACUCUCUGUAAGUCCCCCACCCCUCCCCCCGACUCCUCUCUCUCUGCAUUUUAGAGAAAAAAAUAGUAGAGAAAAAGUUUGUUUAUAGCAAAAAAUUUAGUUUAGAGCAAAGGAUGUUAAGUAGUAGAUGUUAGAGCAAAAAUUAGUUUAGAGCAAAAAAUUUGGUUUACAACAAAAGUUAGUUAGGGCAGUAGGGUUUAAUUAGGGUAGAUGUUGCUUGUAUAGUAUAUAGUGAUACUAGUAGAUGUUAAUUAGGUUAGGGCAAUAGUGGUACUAGUAGAUGUUAAUUAGAUGUUUUUCAGUUAGGACACUAGAGUUUUGCUAGGUUAAUUAGGUUAGUAGUACUGCUAGUAGUAGUGGUACAGUAGGUUAAUUAGGUGAUGUUAACUGAAUAACCUAAAUGAAUGAAAUUAGUAGUUAACUGAAAAAAAAUUCCUUUCAUCAUUAUAGAGCACUAAAGUUAAAUGAAUUUUCUUCUACACUUUGUUUUUUAAUUAGCUUGUGAAAUUGGGACAUGUGGUUGCUCGUGUAUAUUUGGACGUGUGUUGCGGUGUCGAAGAGGGAUAUUUGAACACUGUUUCCAGGGAAUGAUGCUGAGUGGCCUAUAUUUUGCCGGAAUGUUGAUUCAUUUCUGUUCCUGCAAAUUUCAGGUUCUCGAUUUGUCCACUUUUUAGCUAAGGUCAUGCCGAAAUUUUCCGUGAAUUUCGGCAUGACUUGUGCUACAAACUAGGACAUAUCGAGUGCCCGGGAUUUGCCGCACCAGGAAGGAGUCAACAUUCCUGCAAAACAAUAGGCCUUUUUAUGUCAUUAUUCAUUUUAUUAGGUCUAGAAUUAAUUGACUAGAUUUAAUCAUAGGAAACAUGGCUAGCAACGAUGAAGGACAGGGUUCUGGUGAUUGCGUCGACGUCUACCGGGUGGCAGACGAAUUUUCUAACCUUACCGACAAUCAACCGAUGUUGUUGUUGGGCCCAUCGGUGGCAUCGGGGACUGAGACCGACAAGCAGACCGGUGCUGAGACUGAGACCGGCGCUGAGACUCAGACCGGCAUCGAGACCGGCGCUGAGACUCAGACCGGUGCUGCCUCGGGGAGCAGAGCCGGUGUAGAACCAAAAGAAAAGAGGCAACGGCUUCCUAACAAACUCAGGACUACUAGACUGGUGGUCACGGAGUUGGACGACGGCAUUUUUGAGCCAAAGGCGCCCGAGGAAGCGCGUCGAUGCUACGGCAAUCAAAUAGGCUGCAUCAUACGGACAACCGCCACCAUCAAUGAUGAGAAACUACAGAAGAUAGAAAAUAUGAGGAGCUCCCUCCUAAAGAAGUUUCACCAGAUAUUCUUGUUCCCGGGCCGGAAUGAGAAGGAUUAUGAAGAUCCAGACGAGGACCCGCCAAUGAAGAAGAUAAACAAACACACCAUGACUGUAGGACCUUGAAGUAUGUCUAGAGGGGGGGCUGAUUAGACUACUUGACCAAUUAAAAACCUAACCUAUUCCCAAUUUUAGAGUUUCGCAAAUUUUAACAAUCUUUGGACAAGUCAAGCAAUCAACACACAAAUCAAGCAAGCAUGCAAAGAGUAUAUAGGCAGCGGAAAUUAAAGCAUGCAACUUGCAAGAAAGUAAAGGGAAGGGUUUGGAGGAUUCAAACGCAGUUGGAGACAUGGAUGUUUUUGGCGUGGUUCCGAUAGGUGGUGCUAUCGUACAUCCACGUUGAUGGAGACUUCAACCCACGAAGGGUAACGGUUGCGCGAGUCCACGGAGGUCUCCACCCAAGAAGGGUCCACGAAGAAGCAACGUUGUCUAUCCCACCAUGGCCGUCGCCCACGAAGGACUUUCCUCACUAGCGGUAGAUCUUCACGAAGUAGGCGAUCUCCUUGCCCUUACAAACUCCUUGGUUCAACUCCACAAUCUUUGUCGGAGGCUCCCAAGUGACACCUAGCAAAUCUAGGAGACACCACUCUCCAAGAAGUAACAAAUGGUGCGUUGAUGAUGAACUCCUUGCUCUUGUGCUUCAAAUGAUAGUCUCCCCAACACUCAACUCUCUCUCAUAGGAUUUGGAUCUGGUGGAAAGAAGAUUUGAGUGGAAAGCAACUUGGGGAAGGCUAGAGAUCAAGAUUCAUAUGGUAGGAAUGGAAUAUCUUGGCCUCAACACGUGAGUAGGUAGUUCUCUCUCAGAACUGGUAAGUUGGAAGUGUAGGUUUGUUCUGAUGGCUCUCUCCAUGAAUGAAGAGGAGGUGGACGGGUAUAUAUAGCCUCCACACAAAAUCUAACCGUUACACACAAUUUACCAAUCUCGGUGGGACUGAAUUAACAAACUCGGUCAGACCGAUUUAGUAAACCUAGUGACCGUUAGGAUUUUCGGUGGGACCGAAAUGCAACUCGGUAGGACCGAUAUGGUUAGGGUUAGGGCAUAACGUAAUCUCGGUGAGACCGAUUACACAAACUCGGUGAGACCGAUUUUGGUAAUUAGCUAACCAGAGAGUUGGUCAGGUAAACUCGGUGGGACCGAUUUGCUCUUUUCAGUGAGACCGAAAUGUUACAAAAGGGAAACAGAGAGUUUACAUUGCAAUCUCGAUGGGACCGAUCGCUCACUUCGGUUAGACCGAAAUGUUACAAAGGGAAACAGAGAGAUUACAAUCCCAUCUUGGUGAGACCGAGAUCCCUAUCGGUGAGACCGUUUUGCCUAGGGUUUGUGGCAGUGGCUAUGACAUUUGAACUCGGUGGCGCCGGAUAGAAACAAUCGGUGUGACCGAUUUUGGCUUUAGGUUUAGGUCAUAUGUGGAUGUGAGAAAGUAGUUGAGGGUUUUGGAGCAUAUCACUAAGCACAUGAAGCAAGAGGCUCAUUAAGCAUCACCUCAUCACUCCUUGAUAGUAUUGGCUUUUCCUAUAGACUCAAUGUGAUCUUGGAUCACUGAAAUAUAAAAUAAGAGUCUUGAGCUUUUGAGCUUGAGCCAAUCCUUUGUCCUUGAUAUUUUGAGGGAUCCACUUUCAUCAUCCAUGCCAUGCCAUUCAUUGAGCUUUCCUGAAAUAAUAGUCUUGGAAUAGCAUUAGCUCAAUGAGCUAUAUGUUGUUAUGAAUUACCAAAACCACCUAGGGAUAGUUGCACUUUCAAUCUCCCCCUUUUUGGUAAUUGAUGACAACAUAUAGAUCAAAGCUUUGACACAUGAUAAUAAGAUUGAAAAAAAUCGUCGCUUUGAGAAGUAUGUGAUAUGCAAGAGCUCCCCCUAAAUUUGUGCAUAGUUUAAGAUUUGCUUUGGACUGCAAAUGCACAAGGAAUUAGGCUCAUGGGUUACUCUUCCAUGUCACAUACAUCUUGGUGGAGCGCUCAAAAUAAUAAAGAUUAAAUACAUGCACUCAUCGUCAAGCAAAGUGAAUGAUCAUAUAAGGAUAGGUAAGAUAAUAACAUAUAAUCAAGCAUAAGUGUAGCUUAUGAUCAAACACAUGAUCAUCAAUGUCUCACAGGUAAUGCAUUGUAUCUCAAGCAAUCAAGAAGCAAACAAGUUUAACCAAGAAGACAAGAGAGAACAAAAAAAACAGCAAAUCUCUCUCUCGAAGCCUAUGAUCUAUAAAAUUUUCUCCCCCUUUGGCAACAAGUUACCAAAAAGUUUGAAAAAAUGCAUAGUGCUAGAUCGUCUCUCAGGCUUGGUCUUCAGGUGGUGGAGGUGUACGGAUGACUCCAAGAAUGAAGGCUUCAGUCGAUGUAGAGGGAGCUGGAGGAGUUGGUGCUGGAGCUGGUUGCACUUGAGCUGUAGCUGGUGCAGAUGAUGUGGCUCUUGUGUCUAUCACAGGCACUGCAGCUGAUCUUUGAGCUCUAGGCACUCUGGCAAAUGCAUCUGUGGUUGUCUUGCCCUUCCUCUCCUGCAUGUCAUCCUGAAGCUGUUCCACAACUGACUGAAUCUCAGUUACUUUGACAUCAAGAUCAUAGAUUUUUUGUUCCAUAAUCCUUUCCAGGCUCUCCUGGUUUUGAGUUAGGGUGGCCAACCCCUUCUCAAUCCUCAGUGUUGAUGCUAUCAAGUAACCAAGCUGAUCCUGCUUGCUCUCCAAGAAAUACUCAGAUGCCUCCUCUUGAGUUGGCAUCUUGGCAGCCUUCUCUUUCCUUGCUUUUUCCUUCUUCUCUUGAGCUUGCACUGAUGAUGGUUCAUUCUCAUUCAUGACAACUUGAUUGUCCUCAAAGUCUGGAUAGAGAGCAAAAUGUUCCUUAUCCAACUGAUACUUUCCUGUGCCCAUCUUUGAGUUAAUCAACUCCUGAAUCUGUGGGGCAUAUCCACAACUUCUCUUCUGAUCUGCUGCAGUCCUUAAUGGUUUCAACCAUAAGGCUCAUGCCUUUGAAUUUCCGGGGCACAUCAAAAAUGUGAAGCAAGUUAAUUGCAUGCCCUCUUAUCAUGUUGUUGUCACCUGAUUUGGGCAAAAGAGUGUGCCUUAAGAUCCAGUUGAUUGUAGGCAGCCCUGACAGAAGAAAAUGGACUGACCCAAACGAGAAAGUCUCAAGGGCUUUGUCUGGGAUCUCUUUGUACAUAUGUGACAUAGUAUUGUGUCCCAUCUUCUUCUUGGCAUAUACAUCCAAGUCAUCUUCACUCUCCUUUGGGGCUUUGAUCAGACUUGCCCAUUCCUCAAUGGUUGACUGGUAUCUCGUUCCUUCUGACAUCCAAACUAUCCUGCCAUCUGGAUAGAAGCGUGCUGUGGAGUAGAAUUGCAUAAUGAGUUCAUCAUUCUAGUUGGUGAGCUUCUGCCCAACAAAAUCUGCAACUCCACAAGCAAUGAAACUAUUUUGCACUCCAGUAUAGUGUUCUUCAUUUUCCUUCAUGUAGGUCCAGUCGACCCACCUCAUAUCACACACUAUGGGCUUCUUGUCCAACAAGAUUGUCUCAUAGAAGUCCUGUUGCUCCUUGGUGUGGAACCUGUAAUCUACAGCAGUCCUUCUCCUGGUGGCAUAUGGAUCUGACUCUCUCCAUAGCCUCAACCCUGAGUCUUUCCUGAUCUUCAUGUUCUCAUCCACAGGAUGAGCAUCAUUGUGGUCUGGAAUCUUGGGUUUGAGCUUCCUUAAGAUCUGCCCUUCUUCAUCCUCCUCAGCAGCAACCUCAGGCAUUGGGGCCUUGUUCUUCUCAGCUACUGGUAUACUCCUACUAUUCCUCUUUGGUGCAAUCUUGGGCUUGGAGGCAGCUUUGGGUGCUCCUUUGGGCUUUGAUGUUGCAGCCCCUGACUUUAUAGCAUCACCCAUCAGCUUUUGUGGCUUGGGUGCUGGUUUAGCAACCACUUCUUCCUCUUCCAUCAUGGAAGGUUGACCAACAACUCUGGCCAUGGUCUUCUUGACCCUUUCCUUCCUUUUCUUUCCUUCUACAGCUGCCUCUUUGGGAUCAGGCAUUUCAGAUACUUGAGUUGAUCCUCUGGCUUUGGACAUUGGCUGUCUUCCUGCUGGCCUUUUGAUCUUCAUGCCUGGCUUUACUGCAGUUGAGUUGAGCACCUUCUUGAGCACUACCUUCUUGGAAGUAGCCUCAUCUUCUGCUGCCACAUAGUCCUCAUCCUCUGAGUCUGAGGUUCUCUUCCUUCUGGCACUUGUGGCUUCUUUGGGCAAAUUGCUUGGAGUGCUUCUGCUCCCUUCAUCUGAAGUACUUGAGGGACUAGUGCCCUCACUCAUGUGAAUCUGCUCUGUUGACUUGUUCUGACUAUCACUUUGGUCUGACAUGCUGCCAAUCACUGACUGCUGACCCUGUGAAUAGUUAUAGAUGAGACAGAGUGGAUGAGCAUCACAAAAUGCAGAGAUUUUUGCAAAAGAAUGAUUCAAAAACUUAGUUUUAGUUUCCAUAGAAAGCAUUUCGGAUCUACCGAUUUUCAAACUCGGUGAUACCGAAGCAGUUUUGGAACCUAAACUAGUGAACUCGGUCAGACCGAGUCACAGUUCGGUGGCACCGAGCCUGCUAGGGUUUCACAAAGUUCUAAAAUCGGUCACACCGAUUUGUAAUUCUCGGUCAGACCGAGACUUACUAGUGCAAUGGCGUUAGCCAAAUCGAUGGGACCGAGUUUUUCAACCCGGUGGGUCCGAGAUGGUUUUGGCGGAAACCUAACCCUAAAUUUUCGAAUCGCAUCUAUUCUAAGGAUCGCAUUGAGUGGAUAGGAGUGUCUCAAUCGUGGCAAGAUGCAUUACGAACACAAUGUGCUGAGAAUCAGAUGAGGAAAGCAUUGUGAUCGCGUUCAUACCCUAGUUCGGCGGUGAACUCGCUAUGGCGGCAAUGGCGGAGAAGAAAUCCGUUAACGGCGGCGGAGACCAGCGACAGGAGGCGGCUGGUGACGAAGUCGACGAUCCGUAGACCUAGUAGGCAGAGUGAGCUACGCGCGGGCGAAGGGGUUUGGAGGAAUUUCCAAAAAAUUUACCAUGACUAUAUAUAGCCCGACACUGUCGGUGUGACCGAGUUGAACAACUCGGUGGCACCGAGAUGCAUAACUGUUAACAGUUACAACAACUCGGUGUGACCGAAAAGUUCAUAUCGGUUGCACCGAGAUUGAAAACCUAGAUCGACUUAGUGAUCUCGGUGGGACCGAAAUGGUGGAAUCGGUCAGACCGAGAAUCACAAAGAAGUUUUGGAAGUUUAAGUCUCUGACGAAUCGGGGAGUCCGAGUGCUCCUCACACAGUGUGGUUCGAAUCUGACUUGAUCAAAUUUUGUGAUGUAGCAUGAAUAGAGUUUGAGACGAGAUAAGCAUAUAUAGCUAGAGAAGGUUCUUAGGCAUUCUUGUCCAUCCACUUGGCCGAAGAAAAGGAAACCAAUCAAUCAACACAACAAGUGGAUGUCCUCGAAUGAGUAAAAUAUGCAACCAGCAUGCUCACACAAUAAAGUGACAAAUGAAAUAUGUGGCAAAGCAUGCACAACCAAUUCUAGCAUCUAUCAAACAAUUGGCAAUGACUAGGUCAUCUGUAUAUGAGUAUAUUGAUUUAGGAGUCAAAUGAGAACAUUUGAUCAUAGGUCAUACUCAUUGUUUAAGCUCAAGUGGGGUUACCACUUUUACAUAAUGCAUUGAUGUGUUCACACCAUUAGAGUUGCUUUGACUCAAUUCUUAGAGUUAAGCUCCCCCUAGAUGUGAGAUCCCCUUUUAGAGGAAUGAACUAACCUUGGGUUUUGUCGAUGAUGACUUCAUGUAGGUGUUGAAGAUGUGAAUGCUCAAAGUUGAUGUAGAUCAUUUGGAGCAAUCUUUUGGAGUGAGUUGCACUUUCAACAUACCUACAUGGGUUAGUCCCACAAGGAACAGAACAAGAAUAUCCAUAGACAUAGAGUGAUGCACACACAAGAUGAUGUCCAUGAAAUCAUUUGGUUACCUUGUCCCUUGCCUUACCAACAUGAGGGUUUGUGACUCCUUGAACUAGUGCAAGAUGUGGAAGUUGAUUGCACUUGCUCUUGCCGUAAUGAUAUGAGUGAAGAAUGUUGGCGGAGUCACCCUCAAGAACUCUAUAGUUCUUCUUCUUCGGGGUCCACAUCAUCUUGAUGGGAAUCCUUGGAGUUGUGGUUGUACUUGAUGAAGUAGAACUUGACGUAGUCUUGGGAACCCACUUGGCCAAGGCCUUAGGUGCUUCUUCAAAUGCAUCAAUCUCCUCUUGAAGCUUGUCCUUGCCUUGAUGGUCUUGUGGUGGAAGAUCAUCUUGAGCUUGUGUUCCCUUGAAAGAAGUAGGAUCAUACUUCUCUUGUUGAGGAACAAACUUCGUCUUAGGGUAUUGAUCUUCUUCCCACUCAACUCCAUUGGCAUUGAACUUUCGUUCAAAACCAACACCUUGAUUCUUCCGGCGCCUUCCUUGCUUGCUUACAAUUUCCUCGAAUUGCUUACUCCCAGCAAGGCUCUUGUAUACACCUUUCUCUAUAAUUCCCUUCAAUAAGCUAUUUUCUUGCUCAAGUGUAACUUGGCUAAGAGAAUCAUUAAUGGAAUCAAGAGAACUACUAGAAGCAACAAGAUUGGAUUUAGCAUUGUUAUUGCUACUACUAGAGGACGAAUCUUUCUUGUUCUUGUUACUAGACUUGACUUGAGGCAUGUAAGUAGAUAAUAGUAAACGCUUGACAAUGUAAGAAGAACUUUUCUUGAGAAGAUCAUCAUUGAUUGACUUUAAGAACUCAUGCUCUUGCUCAAGAUUGAGCUUUUCAAAGUGUAACUUCUCAUGAGCUCUUAAAAGUUCUCAAUGAUUUUCGAAGAUAGUUUCAUGAGAUAACUUAAGAGUGUUUAGUUCUUUAGUUAGAAGCUCAAUCUUCUCCUUAUCGUUGUCAUUCGUUUUAUCUUGUUUAGCAUGAUUAUUUGACAUUCCAUCAUAUUAUUCAUCACUAGAGUUGUCAACAAGUAAAUCAUCAUCACCUAGCAAGUCAUCUUCAUCACUAUUGAAAUCAACAUACUCGGGAUGUGUUACCUUUGGACCUUUGGCCAUGAAGCAUCUUCCAAUUCCUUCAUUUGGUGAGUCAAAUAUGUCAUGGGAGUUGGUUGACACAAGUGCUAGACCGGCAACACCUUCAUCUUGAGUAUGUUCGGAGUCGGAGUGAUGUUCAGAGUCGGAACCGGAUACCCAUUCACCAACAUGAGCUUGAUGUCUUCGUUUUGUGUAGCUCUUUGAUGACUUGUCCUUCCUUUCCGAAUCUUUGCUUCUCCAUCAGGGUCUUCGUUCAUAACGAUCAUCUCUACUCCUUCUCUCUCUUGGCGGUGAUUCUUCUCGUCUACUUCUUCUUUUUGGAGAAUCUUCUCUUCUUUUGUAGGGUGCCGUACACUCAUUGGAAUAGUGUCCGGGUCUCCCACAAUUGUAGCAAUUGCGCUCUCGACUGGAAGAUCUUUUGUCAUUGUAGGACCUUGACUUAGAGCUUCUUUCUUUGCUUCUACUCUUGUAGAAUUUGUUGAAAUUCUUCACCAUUAAGCUCAAUUCUUUAUUGAAGGUUUGUUUCUCACUUGAUGAUGUGGGGGCUUCACAUGAGGCUUUGUAAGCACCACUUGACUUGUUGUGAAGUUCCUCCUUAUCCUUGAGUGACAUCUCAUGAGCAACAAUUCUACCAAUGACCUCCGUUGGCUUGAGAUUCUUGUAAUUGGGCAUCAUUUGAAUCAAUGUGCACACGGUAUCAUAUUUUCCAUCCAAUGCUCUUAGGAUCUUCUUGAUGAUGAAUCUGUCGGUCAUCUCUUCACUCCCUAAGCCGGCAAUCUCAUUUGUGAUAAGAGCAAGCCUAGAGUACAUUUCAGCGACACCUUCACCAUCCUUCAUUUUGAACUUGUCAAGCUGACUUUGGAGCACAUCCAACUUGGAUUCCUUGACGGAGUCGGUACCUUCAUGCAUAUCAAUCAAAGUGUCCCAAAUUUCCUUUGCGUUCUCAAGACGGCUGAUUUUGUUGAAUUCUUCAGGGCACAAUCCGUUGAAGAUGAUAUCACAAGCUUGAGAGUUGUAUUGCAGCAUCUUCAAUUCUUCCGCAUUAGCUUCACGGUUCGGCUCUCUCCCAUCAAAGAAUUCACCAUGCAAGCCAAUACAAAUAAUAGCCCAAAUGGCGGGGUUAUGUCCGAGAAUAUGCAUUUUCAUCUUAUGCUUCCAACUAGCAAAAUUAGUUCCAUCAAAGUAAGGACCUCUACGGUGAUAAUUUCCCUUGCUAGACGCCAUACUCUCCUAGGUUGUGAAACCAAGGCUAUGACCACCAAAAGCUAGGGAAAACAAAGAAAAUGGAGACCAAAGCUCUGAUACCACUUGUAGGACCUUGAAGUAUGUCUAGAGGGGGGUGAUUAGACUACUUGACCAAUUAAAAACCUAACCUAUUCCCAAUUUUAGAGUUUGGCAGAUUUCAACAAUCUUUGGACAAGUCAAGCAAUCAACACACAAAUCAAGCAAGCAUGCAAAGAGUAUAUAGACAGCGGAAAUUAAAGCAUGCAACUUGCAAAAAAGUAAAGGGAAGGGUUUGGAGGAUUCAAACGCAGUUGGAGACACGGAUGUUUUUGGCGUGGUUCCGAUAGGUGGUGCUAUCGUACAUCCACGUUGAUGGAGACUUCAACCCACGAAGGGUAACGGUUGCGCGAGUCCACGGAGGGCUCCACCCAAGAAGGGUCCACGAAGAAGCAACCUUGUCUAUCCCACCAUGGCCGUCGCCCACGAAGUACUUUCCUCACUAGCGGUAGAUCUUCACGAAGUAUGUGAUCUCCUUGCCCUUACAAACUCCUUCGUUCAACUCCACAAUCUUUGUCGGAGGCUCCCAAGUGACACCUAGCCAAUCUAGGAGACACCACUCUCCAAGAAGUAACAAGUGGUGCAUUGAUGAUGAACUCCUUGCUCUUGUGCUUCAAAUGAUAGUCUCCCCAACACUCAACUCUCUCUCAUAGGAUUUGGAUCUGGUGGAAAGAAGAUUUGAGUGGAAAGCAACUUGGGGAAGGCUAGAGAUCAAGAUUCAUAUGGUAGGAAUGGAAUAUCUUGGCCUCAACACAUGAGUAGGUAGUUCUCUAUCAGAACUGGUAAGUUGGAAGUGUAGGUUUGUUCUGAUGGCUCUCUCCACGAAUGAAGAGGAGGAGUAGGGGUAUAUAUAGCCUCCACACAAAAUCUAACCGUUACACACAAUUUACCAAUCUCGGUGGGACCGAAUUAACAAACUCGGUCAGACCGAUUUAGUAAACCUAGUGACCGUUAGGAUUUUCGGUGGGACCGAAAUGCAACUCGGUAGGACUGAUAUGGUUAGGGUUAGGGAAUAACGUAAUCUCGGUGAGACCGAUUACACAAACUCGGUAAGACCGAUUUUGGUAAUUAGCUAACCAGAGAGUUGGUCAGGUAAACUCGGUGGGACCGAUUUGCUCUUUUCGGUGAGACAGAAAUGUUACAAAAGGGAAACAGAGAGUUUACAUUGCAAUCUCGGUAGGACCGAUCGCUCACUUCGGUUAGACCGAAACGUUACGAAGGGAAACAGAGAGAUUACAAUCCCAUCUUGGUGAGACCGAGAUCCCUAUCGGUGAGACCGAUUUGCCUAGGGUUUGUGGCAGUGGCUAUGACAUUUGAACUCGGUGGCACCGGAUAGAAAGAAUCAGUGUGACCGAUUUUGGCUUUAGGUUUAGGUCAUAUGUGGAUGUGAGAAAGUAGUUGAGGGUUUUGGAGCAUAUCACUAAGCACAUGAAGGAAGAGGCUCAUUAAGCAACACCUCAUCACUCAAUGUGAUCUUGGAUCACUGAAAUAGAAAAUGAAGAGUGUUGAGCUUUUGAGCUUGAGCCAAUCCUUUGUCCUUGAUAUUUUGAGGGAUCCACUUUCAUCAUCCAUGCCAUGCCAUUCAUUGAGCUUUACUGAAGUAAUAGUCUUGGAAUAGCAUUAGCUCAAUGAGCUAUAUGUUGUUAUGAAUUACAAAAACCACCUAGGGAUAGUUGCACUUUCAAUGACCAAGUUUAGCGACACGUUGGCCGCCUAGAAAACUCGAUUGAAAGCAAGGAUCAUCGACAAGAAGGAACCCUACUCCGAGAUUAUAAAGGAUAAUCCGACAAUCACGGAAGACCAGUUUCAAAUAUUCAAGGAGGCUUGCGAGGCCGAAGCUGCCAAAAAAAAGUCUAAGUACAUGAAGGGGCUUCAAGAGAGGAACAUUGGGAGCCACCACCUCGGAAGCCGUGGUUACGGCGGAAAGAGGUCCAAAUGGGCCAAGGAGGACACGGAAGCCGCGAGUCUGGGCAUCCUAGACCCCUUGGCGGAUUUCACCGUCCUGCAGGAGCAUGACGUCCUGAGGGCCCGGCACCAUUGGGACCCAGUAAAGAAGGUUUACGAGACAACACCGGUCAUUACGGAGUUCAUGAGACUGCUGGUAAUUUUAGUUUUUGAUCAAUUUGACUGCACAUGUUAGUCAUAUUUGUAAACGAUCCUUGUGCCUUUUGCAGAGAGAGCAACACCGGAUUGCGGCCGAAAGCGACUCGCCGUCUGAGGAAUUGGCGAGGCCCAAGUGGGACACUCCAUUCAACCGGGCGUUGAACAUAUUGAAACGACAACCGGUGGAUACUCAACCGCCGUAUGGAUGCGUGCACGGUGUCGGAGACGGCGCCACGUGGAAGAAGUACUACCGUGAGACCACGGAGGAGAGAAAGGAAAGACGGAGGUUAACUGAAGAAAACAUCGACAAGAAGGUUGAGAUUGUGGUUGAGAAGAAAUCAUCUCAGACAGUCGCAACAGUGGUAGCUGCCGCAAAAUAGGUGGUUGCAGAUUUGUCUACUUCCUUGGUGAUGGGCGUUUUCACUUGGACAAGGCAAAAUCCAGAAAAAAAUGCAGAGGACUUUCCCCUUGCUGACUUCUUGGGAGCACCUGCUCCCGCACCGGCUCCCGCACCUGCUCCCGCACCGGACGUGCUCGGCGGUGCUUCGUCUUUGGCUGAGCUCGACGCCCUCACGGUAUCUGUCACACCGCCCCCCUUCAAUAUAAAUGUAUAAUCUCCCGUUUUCGUUGCCUUUCGGAUGUCUCACGUCGCAGACUUUUCUUUGCAGGCCGACGAAACCCCGUGCACCAUAUUGUACACCAUCGAUGACCAGAAGGUGGAUGUGGGGAAGGUGACGAUAAUGGAGCCGAAGGAACCAUUGUUCCACAGUCGGCCGAUCCCCCCGAACGUCUUCAAGGUUUCCGUGGCCAGUGUCGAACCGGGCCACGAGAAUUUGCCUCCUCCAAUACUACUGGUGGAUGACGAGGAGACACCGCGGUGGCUUGGUGAUUGUUGCAAUGGGUGGGUCCUGUUGUGGCCAAAGAGUCUGCUUCAUCUGGAGGCGGUCGGGAGCACACCCACGAGCACGCAGCCUCAGCAAGGUAUGAACAUCAACACCCCACCUACCCAAUUAGCGUUGCGUGUCGAGUUGGUUGAUAACGGAUAAGGUAAGGAGGAUGCUCCGCUAGUCGCUGAUGACGUCGCCAUGGAUGAGGAUGAGGACGACGGUGGCGCUGAACAGUAUGUCUAUACUGGUGCCUCCUCAGGGUUUGAGCGUCAUGAUUCGGUGCCUGAAUUGCCGUCUCAACGUAUUAUGGACGACCUUCCGGUAGUAAAGAAGUCUAGGAAGAGAGCGAGGAAAGGCAAAAAAGCUGAUUCUAUGAUCCAGCCGCCUCAGCAGCCUCGGCUUCAGGACCGUAUAGAUAUCCCCGAUGCAGAUAAAUGGCAUAUCCCCGGUCAACCAAUCCUACCUGCAACAGUGCUACAGGCCAGAUUCGGCGAUCUAAGGAGACUUCAUGACGAUGUGCUGCGGGUAGAGAAAGGCCUCAUCGCCUCGACAGAUCCAGGAUACCCACUCUACGUGGUUAAUGUUUCGCGUCAAAUGCCGUACGUUGACAGCUUCCCCGCGGAUAGGUUCUUCCUCCGAUUCGAUUACAUAUUCGACAUGUUUCACAUGAAGAAGCUGGAUUUUACGUUUGUCUUCCUUUAUACCUUGCACAUGAACUACAUCAUCGGGUUUGAGCAGAUAUCUCAUAUCUGUGUCGCUGACCCGUACUACAUGCACGAGGGCUUCUUGGGAGUCUGCGCAGAGCACCAUGUAUACGCGAGGGAAUACAUCGUCAAUUUCAUGCUCGACAAUAAGGACAAGGGGGCGAUUCUCGUGCCUUAUCAUCCCGUGUAAGUCAUCCGCGCUUCUAUCCUUCCUUCGAUUUCAAUCAUUCAUUUGCACGGUGGAGGCUAAGUAAUUUGAGGUGUACUUAUUUUGCGCAGCGGUGGGCGCACCGUCCUCAUCAUCCUAUACCCCCGAUUCUCCCACGCUCUUUCCUUGGACUCGUCGAAGAACAUUCACAAAAAGGAUUACACCCACAUCAAGGAUGUUCUCAAUAGUGCUAUGUUUUACUACCAAGCAAGGGGUGGAGAGGUCAGGGACUAGAAGAGAAGGGGCGGCAGGGUCGCCUUCGGCCAUAAGACCGACUUCUGCUGCAUCCAGCAACCGAACAAUUCUCUUAAUGAUGGAUUCUAUGUCCUACACCACAUGCUGGUGUACAGACGGGAUCACCAGAACCUUCGCAUGUCACCUAGAUCCGGCAAUGCCCAUAUUCUGCAAUGGGCAAAGAAAGUAGGAGAUAUCGAGGACCAUCGACUUCGAGCUAAGUUCUAUCACAUCCAGCGCGAACUUGCCCAAAUCAUCAUGAAGGAGGUCGUCCAAAAAACAGGGAUGUUCUAAGAAGAAGGACAAAUGUCGUGGGAAGACGUCCGAACAUGGAUAGCCUCUCAGCGUCUCGACAUGAAGCCUUUCACUAAGCUCGAGGACUAUCUCCUUGACCUCGAUGGAUGGCACGACAUGUUGGAGUGAUUAUCGAUAUAUGACAAUGUGUCCGUUUAGUCCAUACUUUCUGUAUGACAAAACUUUAAGUUAUGCGCGGUGAAACUUUUUGUGAUGUAAUUAAACCAUCCUCCUCCUCGACUAGCGAAGAUCACUCUAGUUAGGGCAUUUUGGGUACGAUGAACUUUGUUAUUUAUGCUUAUGAUAUGUUGUUUCUAUUUUUGCCAAGUCUGUCUCUUUCUGUUGCUCAACUAUAUAUGUUGCAUAUCAUCGACUCAUGUGACGAUGCAGGUGCAUAGAUCAUCGAUGGCGAAGAAGUGCUACGCCAGGAGUAUAUAUACGACGAGUGGCCGGAGUGUCAGACCCAGGUGUACCGGUUUCUGGUUUCUGAGCAACAGGCAGUAGUUAGUUUAGGUUCACGCUAAUGCGAGAGAGGGAUAUGAACUCAUGUACUCAAAGUGAUAGCUCUUCUCGCGUAUACCAUUGUUUAGAUGGAUGACGAUGUAUUUGCAAGUAAUCGAGGACUUGUAUCGCUAUUUUCGAGAUGAUGACGAGAGACCACUUUGUGUUGGAUGAUGAUUAUGAUGAUGACAUGAUUUGAUGAGUCUAAUUGUAUGUAUAUGCUAUGAUUAUAUUUGUAUAUGUAUGAUAUGCUAAAGAUUAUUGUAUAAAGCCUAUUCAAAUACAAAACAAAUACAAAAACAAAUAUGCAGGAAAAAAACUAAUAAAAUUAGUAGUAGCGAGGGGGGGGGGGAUUUAGCAGUAGCGCCGGAUUACCAGUAGCGCUUCCUGGUAAACAUCGCUGCAGAUAAUAUCAGCAGCGCCCUUUUCUGAACAGCGCUACAGCUAUUCAUGUAUAGCAGUAGCGUGGAACAACAGGCGCUACUGUUAUACGUUAGUUGUAGCGCCUUAUUAGUAGCUCCUGUCCCUGCGCUACUGAGAGGACCAAAACCCGCGCUGCUGCUAGGCUUUUCCCUAGUAGUGAUUUUGGACCAAAUGCUUGAUGGUCUCACUAGAGUUGUAAGAGCAACAUUUCUAGAUCCUUUCCGAUUGCAACUUAUUAGAUUGUCCUUUGUUAGUGGCGCACCCCGCCUUACGUACUAAAGGAAAAUUUUAACCUUACUUGGGAUUUUCUAUGACAUCUAAGAGAAGAGUCUACAACGAUCUUGUACUUGAACCGUACAGAUAACUGCUAACUGUUUACUAUGACAUCUAAGAGAAGAGUCUACAACGAUCUUGUACUUGAACCGUACAGAUAACUGCUAACUGUUUUCGGCUUACAACAGAAGGUGUCACAACCUCUAAUAAUUGAACUCAUGAUAACCGAGCAACUAGCCGAUCGCACACUACUCUGUUGUCUUAGGUUAUGGACCUCCCUAGCUCAACGCAUGGCAGAUUUGUCUCAAGGACCUGAACCAUCAUGAAAUUAGAUUAGUAGGCAACAAUAAUUGUAAAUAAUCGCGUAAUGGGCAUUGAAAGGUUUGUUCCAUCGCGAUUUUUUUCAAAGAACCAUGUCUUCACUCAUCUAAGAACCUUGAGACGGACCAUGCUUAUAAAAUUUCCUAACUUCAAUUGCCCCAUGCCAAUUUCUCCUUGGCCACCUGCUUUUCCUAUCCACCAAAGGCUAGUUAACACCCAAUAGCUAGAAUAUUUUGGUUGGUUCCAUAUUUUGGUGCCUUUGUUUGAACCGCAUCCUGUAGUCUACCAUCACGUGUGUAGACUAACAACCCAUGUGCCUUUAAAAUUCAUGGGUAAUGGCUACUGCAGUCAUCCACAUGGCCAUGUGUCUGUGCGGCUGCAUGAUGAUCAGCUGCUCUCAAGCAUGAUUCUUCGUUGAACGGGGCAGCUUGAUGGGCUCUUUUGUCAAACACCAUUUUCUCGAUGUUUUUUAAAAACAACCUUGCCUAUUUUAUAUGCCUGCUACUAGCAGCCGUGGAUGCAGCCAUGUGCAUCACCCGAAUACUUCUUUGUCGCGUCGUUCUCUCACAUUGUCUCAACGAUUGGGAGGAGGUACCCGAUGUAUACAAGUAAAUUUUGUAUGAAAACAACACAUUCAUUCAUUAGAGUCAAACAUAUUGAUAGUUCAGCAUGGUCUCAUUGUGAGCCUCUCAUGUCAAGGUUGGCCGCAUAUUAUUAGUUAUUACAGGUCGUUAGUUCUAAUUAGACUAAUCUUUCAGUCAAUCAAAAUGUUUAGCUGCCCUAGUGUGAUCAUCACAUGAAUUAAUUGUACGGAUUUGCUGACUUGUGCAUAUGCAUAUAAGGUUUGAGGGGGGAGAUUGGUUUACAUAAUAUAUGUGUUGAUCACAUUCAUUAUUGUUCAGGAUUCGCUUACAGGUUAAUUACGUACAUGUCCGCCUCAUGUCCUCAACCAUUAUUUAAGUAUUUCAGAGGACAAUUAGUUAGCUGGGACACGUACUGGAGUAACUCACUGCUCGCGUCUCUGUCAUUCUAAAUGGGGCGACACAUAUGUACGUGGCGAAGACCAAGACUUACGAGCUCCGCAUCAAUUUCACAUUUAAUCUGCCCACCACCAUCUCUUGCAGUUCAUAUGUGCAGCGAAAACUUGGUACUUCCUUCCUCUGAACAGAUGCCUCCAAAACAUAAACACGUGCAUAAGUAAAGUAUGCAUGCGGAUGAACCACAGAUUUUUCUUUGAACAGUUGUGCAUGCCGAUUUUACUUUGUUAUCAUCCCAUCAGGCUAGUGUAUUGCGGUAAUACCGAAAUCAUUUUCUGAAACUAAGUCGACCGAAGAAAACAGCGAUCUAUCAAGCCACUCUGAACAUAAGACAAGAGAAGGGCAUAUGUACAUAUUCCUUUAUUGUAGAUACUAUACAUGCAUAUCAUCUAGGCCAUGAGCUAGUGAGGUCAUGGAUGCCGUGCGUGAAGAAAGGCAAAGGCGGGUGGAUGCGCAGGCUCUCUAGCACGACAACAUCCAGGCUCUCAAGCACUAUGGCACUUAGGCAAGGCAUGCCGCGGAUGCCCUUCAUGGAUGCCGUGGUAGGCACGACGGCGCGGAGGUUUCUUUUGGCCUUUGUUUAAAAACACACAAAACCUAUAGUUUAUUUCUAAAAGUGGGUUAGCACCAACAAAACAGAAGGGAUGAAGAUAGGUAGAUGGUUAAGCGUAAGCAGUGAAACAUCUAACCUAUAGAUUGACCAAUUCAAGUAAGAUUGGCCCCAUAUAUUUUAUAUACUAGUCCUCAACCCGUGCAUUCGCACGGGCUAGCCCAGAAAAAUAUGUGGCAAAGAUUUUUAUGUCCUAAUCAAUAUAAGUUCAUCAGGUGGCCUUCUUAUUCCAUGGUUCUUCAUUAAUUUACACUUUGACAAACUGUACACGAAUAUAACUUCCUGGUAAUGGUACAAAUUCUACAAACAAACUAGUUUUCGGAAAUGGGACAUAAAAAUGUCAUACCUGUCAAUAUUAGACCACAUUUUUGGGAUUUUUUUAUUUCUAGUUCUUUAGUAUCCAACAGUAUGAAAUUGCCUUUUCUAGAAUGUUUCCAAUUACCAAAUCUUUUUUGCUGCUCUAACGCAAUGCAAUUUGACGGUGCACAUCACUUCUCUCUAUUUUGUAGGUACAACAAUAUUUAUAUGUAUAGCACAAUAGGAAGGUGACUGUAAAUUUAAGGAAGUUAUAAUAUCUUAUUUACACUAUUGUUAUCCAAAUCAAUCCUUACCAUCAAACUUAAAAUAUAGGUUAAUAGAUAAAUUGAUGUAGUCGAUUUUCAUGUCAUUGACAAUUAGUGUUCAUGGAACAAAAUGUGUGAUAAAAUCCUCACCAGUUUUUUUAAUUUAAUCUUCGACGGCCAUAUAUCUUGGCUGCAUGUGGCAACAAUAAAAGUUGCCAGCAUUGUGUUUUAUGGCAUCCGAUUCGCAGCAUAAUGUCUCAAAUCUUGUCAAUUCCAUGACAUGCAAGCGUUUUGUUGAGUUGUGCUACAUAAGUAGGUAAGAGAAUCUCCAGCCGCGUCCCAGAACGGCCUCCUCAGGCGAUUUUUUCGCGCCGGCGCCGAAAAAAAGCCCAGUCGCGCUUCCAAAGGUCCAAUUUUCGCCGGCUCGGACCGAAUUUGGCGCCGGCGGACCCACGCCGCACCCGGCGCGCUGGGGGCGCUUGGGGGCGCCGGCCGAAACAUUUUUGGCGCGAAAACCGGCGGGCCCUCCUUGGCAGCGACUCGGCUCUUCUCGUCGCUUCGUCGUCCUCAUCGCCUCGGUUCCCGCGGCGAAUCAAUGCCAAAGCUGCCGCGCGCUGCCGCGCCGGUCAGCCUCCUCCAUUGAUGCCUCACGGGCGGCGCAGUGAAGAUCGGACGACGCGCGUCCCUCGCCCGCCACACGUACAGACGGCGGCCACGCGUACGCGCAGCGCCUCCGCCUAUAUAAGCCGCCCCCAGCGCACCGGUGGCGGACAGACACUCCAUCACCGACGCCCGUUCCUCCCUCUCCUCUCGCCGUCUCCAGUUCAACCAUGGCCGAGUGUUUCCCAGGCGAUGGCGCAGCGGCGAACGGCUUCGGCCGCCACCACCUUCAUGAGGACGAAGCUUGGCUCCUCUUUGAGGGCGAGUACCCGGUCCCGCCGGACAUGCGGGUGCCCGGGGCGUGGAGGAUCAGCGCCGGCGGGGUCCCGGUGCCACCACCGCCCACAGGGGCGGUGCGGCGUGCGGAGAUCACGCGUAUUCGCGCCUCUCUACCGCAGGCGGCGAGGGAAGGUCCACGGUACGUCCCCGACAACCCGCUGUGGGAGCCCUACUUCCGCCGCCCCCACGCCGAGCAGCUCGAGGCCACCAAUGGCGUCGUGCCCUCCGGGAGGCUCAACUCCGAAGGCCGCCGCCGAUGGUGGGGCAUGCCCGGUCGCACGCUGGAGGUCGUCCUCGAGUACAUCGAGGGCGGCAACGCGCCCAGGCUGGAGUAUCCCGCUCCACCGUCCUUCUCCCGCCGACGUGGGAGCUCAUGGACGCCGAGGCACAUGGACCCGGGGGCGUCCUCCUCCUCGUCCGGCCGCUCGACCGGCUCUCCCUGCCUCCACCCCGUCAAGCCGGAGUCCUAGGACAUGCCGGUCAGCCACCGCACCCGCAGCUUCGUCGUUCGCAUUGCCGACUCCUCCCCCACCUCUGGAUACCUCGUCCUCGUCAGGCCAAAGGCGGAGCCCGGCUUCCCCGCGGAGUACGAGGCCAUAGCCCGACGCGGCUUCUCCGACUAGGAGGCCCUAAAGUGGGCGCGGGACGACUACCUCCUCGACGAGAUGGUCCGGUAGCACCAAGCCCUGGAGGAGAUAGCCGCCCGCAGGCGUGGGCGCGAGGAUGAGCACGGCGUGGUGAUCCUCGACAGCGACGAGGACGAGGACGAGGACGCCCCCGGACCGUCCAACCCGCCGCGCCAACCUGGGGAGGGGUGCAGCAGGGAUGGCGGCUGCGAAGGAGACGACGACGACGGCGGCGGCGGCGACUACACGCAAUUCUACAGGCUCCUUGGCAUGUAGAGCUUCAAGGGCGGCGGGCGGCGAGGAGCGGCAAGGGCGACGGCGGGCCUAGUAGCGUUUUUGUUCCUUUUUGUAAAAUAUUUUAAAUAUGUAUGAACUCGCCGAAGUUUGGUUGAAUUUAGCUGUGUUUAACCGAACCUCGCCGAAUGUUUUAUUUUUUUAAAACAAUUAGGCGCGCCUCGGGGGGCCCUGGGGCCAGCGACUGGGGACCAACUCGCCCCCAGGCCGGUUUUUUUGCGCCGGCUCGCCCCUAGGUGGCGAUUUUAGGCGCCUCCUAGGGGGCCAACGGCUGGAGAUGCUCUAAUACAACGAUGUCUUAUUAUAACUGAAGCUUUGUUAAUAUAUUACAAAAGUUUUAAAUAAUAUUGACAAUUACCGUGAACAUAUUUUCACCAUUCAAGGAACGAUGAUGCUUAUAUGAAACUUUGGUCCGGAGCACAAGAUUUAGUAUGCUUUCAUUUUUGCCAAGAAUGAAAGUAAUUGCCAACAAAUCUAAAUAUUUGCGAGCAUGUCUGCCGUCAUUCUUGAAUCUGUGUUCUAAACUUGUCUACUUUGUGCUUUUUACAACACCACAUAUCAUGGUGCUCUGUAUUCUUGCGACAACCACGUGCAAACAUUAAAAUAUAUAUUUCUAACUUUAUAUACUCCCUUCAUUCCCUUAUACAAGGCCACAAACUCAUAUUACAGAUACCAAGAUAAAAUUUAAUGACUCAUUUGUAAGUCAACUUUUCUUUUUGUUAACCGGGAUCAUUAAUACACCACAAGCAUGCAACGAAUGAAUGGGAAGGAAGUGGCCGAGUGUCAUUAUAACUACAUGCAUGUAAGUAUUGAAAAGUUGGUUGUACGAGGAAACAUCAAUAAUUUUUGCCUCGAUUACUGUUAGUGGCCUUAUAUUGAUGCAAAAUGUAUUUUUGAUAGUGGCCUUGUAUAAGGGAAUGGAGGGAGUAUUAAAGUUUGAACCUGAAAUGACACUGGCUUGUAGUUGGCCGGUGAUGUUCGCAAUUAUCUUGUACAGAUUUUCCCAAUGGUGUUUUUUCUCGAAACAAUGUGCCAUGGUAUCCUGCAAUAAUCAAGAUGACUUAAGAAUAUGUAUUUUUCUACUAUUAGAACUUUAAAUAGUUGACUGAUGAUGAGAAGCAUUUGUUCUUACAGUUCAUUAUAUAAGAAUAUUAUGGCACUUCAAUAAGAAACAAAAAACCACACAACUUCAAUUGUGUCCUUCUGGUUUAAAAAUUCCAGGAAUUUCUUUUGUCAAAAUGUGGCCACCCCAGAUCAAACCUGCUGUAGGCAAUUGGACAUGAUUCCUCUAGGCUCUGAACCAUAUGACUCGAUGCACCUUGACUAUGACAAAGGCGCGGAUCAGGGCGCUUGAGUAGCUGCUUGUAUCUCCAUUUACGUCAAGGUUAGGUUAUGACGUUAGAGCCAAAUUGAUUGUAUAUGUUAGUAACCGUAGAGGAAAACUACAUAAGAACUCUAGCUGGUCCAAAAUUCUACCUGAUAAGAAUGAAUCUGAGAAGGAAUAACCUCCGGUAGAUCGAAUAACUGAAAAUUGGACGAAGUUCUGAAGGACAACAUAUCAUGUGCACUAACUAAUUUUCAUAUUCAGAUUUAUCUUCCAUGUUAGAUUUUAUAUCAUACAUAUAUGCUGCCACAAAUCCAUUUCACACAUAUGACUCAAUUCAGUAUCAUCAUCGCCACACAGAUUUUACAUGGAUUCCACUUCUUUGUGUUGGAAGAUUAAUGCCAUUGGAAAAUAUGUAGAUCAGUAUUAGUUAAGAUAUGAUUGCACCAAUCAAUACUAACCUAUGGGCGUCGGACAUCCUAACCUACUGAUCAUGUAUGCAGGAAUCAAUGGCGUACAUGAUGUUUACGCUAUGGACAUGGAUGUGAGUCCAUCAUCUGCAAUUGAAGCUACUUUAGACUACUCAUGCUCGAACACCAGCAACUGGCAUAGUCCAAGAGAAAUGGAGAUCUGGUAACCGACACUAAUAAAGCUUGAGGCAUGAUAUCUUGAGAAGAGACAAUAGAUGGUGAUUAAUUACUACUACUGCUAGAGAACAAAGUCAUUUAACGGAAAGAUUGUGAUGAUGUAACCUAUAAAUUGUAUUAAAUUUGUACAAAUGUACCUGAUGUAUUUACUCGUGUACCAUGUGUGGAGCAACCGACAUAUACUUCACUUCAUGCUUAUACACACAUACGCUUGCAUCUUUGCUAGUAUUGCAGUGUCGGAAUAGAUUUGUACAUUGUAAAGAUCAUUUGUAUAUAAGAGCUGAUUACAUACCUCAACAUGAAUUUAUGAAGCUUUAUAUUUUCCUGGUCCAUUGAGCUGGACAGCAGCAGAUGUGGAUUACGGAACAACGCGUCCCAAUAGCGCCGCCUUGAACAAUCCAGGUUGUCAUAUGUCUCCAUGUUGUAUGGUGCCAAACCGCUGGGCCACCGGUGCUAUUGCUUCCUCAGUUGAUAAGUUGUAUUAUACUAGUCGUCAACCCGUGCAGUUUCACGGGCUAGAUAGUCAUCUUUUUUUAUCACUAUGUUUUAAUAAAUAUAUGUAUACACUUUUUAGGCAUAAAAUAGUAAAUAUAAAACAUGUUAUAUCUUCUAUAAUUAUUAUUUAACAUUUUUUUAUUCUCCAAUUUUUUGUGGUAUAAGGAAUCCAACAUCUUCGGGAUCCCACAUUUCUGUCGGCAAAUUGAAAUAAUUGAAAAUGAGUUGGAAAUGUUAUUUCCUAUCAAGUUGUUUGUAAUUGUUCAUUCCUCAUACUUGAUUACACUGUCAUAUGAACAGAAAGAAAAUAGGUGAAAUUAACAUCCUUCUCUUUGAAACAGAAGGAUCCAAAAUUGUGUUGUUUGAAAAUAUGAUUAAUUUGGACAUGCUAGUUUUGCAAGUUGUGUUAAAUAAUGGCCAUGUCAACUUCUUCUAAAGUUGCAAGCGAUAUUUGGUUACCAUAAAUUAUAUACUUCAAUUCACACAUUCAUGACCUGAAAUCAUAUAUAGUGACCACCAUCUAUGACUUCUUUCCUACUCCUGAUACAUUUAACUAUUAACACAUUUAAUACUGAAAUUUAGAAGAGGUAAACCAAUCGUGCAAAAAGAAAUAUACUAUAUCAAACACACAUAGGCUAUAGUACACGCCUGAUAGAUUUAGCACUGCAAGCAGACCAAUGGUAGGGAGAAGCAAUGCAUUUGUUUUUACCUCAACUAAAAAACCCAGAAACUAAAAUGGUCCAGAAUAAAUAGUAAUUGCUGCAUGGCGAGUGUCCCUCCUUGCUAUUCUGCCAUCCAAUGUUGUAGAAUGGUCACCAUAUGCAUCCAUUUCUAGUGGUCAUCAUGUGCUUCUUGGUGUUGCUUUCCUGAAUCAAAGCAACACAUGGGAGAGGACAACUACAACAUGAUGUAAAGGAGGCUUCUCUUGCCUUGCACCAGUGUAACAUGCAAAAUCAGAUGAGCACACCAGAGUCUAAAUGGCUGCAGAAUGAAACAUACCUUUUCUUGACUUUUUACCUGGAUAACAAAAGGAGGACAAAAGAGCGGAGUUAUGCAGGUGAAAGAGACCGCGAUUAUUUGCUUUGCCAUACCAUUUGUGUUUAGCAAAGGGGAUUACUCAGGCAGUUGCUAACAAUGGAGUGUGUGCAUAUGCAGCAAGCGACCAAAGGAGUUUUUACCAAACAUGGAUAGGAGUGUAGUCUACGGAUUGGCCCUCCAUCCCCUUUGGCGCUAGGUCUAUUCAUGGCUCUAGGUUUUGCCUUUUUGCAUAUGUAUGACAGAGGUAGUACGUGUAUGAGAUCUUUGUCACCUAUGAUGCAUCGAAGGCUUAAUGUUAGUAUUACCAUCUAGGAGUAUACUUGUAUGGGAAUUACAUCAUGUAUUUUUUUUAUUAAUUGUUUAUACUUGCGUGGCAAAAAUAAGACUUGUGUAAGCUAUAGUUAUGACACUACGCAUCAAAGUAUCAACAUUCGCAUGCUAGAGGCAAUCGUAUGAACCAAUGUUCUCUAUAAUAAAUAUUAACUCAUCACCAUAUGCAUGUUUAAGAAACAAAAUAAUUGAAGUGAGAACUCCCACGUAUAGCAGAUAUAGAAGAUCAAAUCCAGUUGAGUGAAUUACCUUAAUUUGGCCGCAUGUGGAGGCACAUACAGGAUGCCCCUAGACGCGCGCGCGCGCACACACACACACAAACACACGUAUAAAGAACUCAUGGAGCUGCCACCGGCGACUACUCUCGGGACAUAGGAUCAGUCAUCCUGAUCAGCCUCCGAUCCCCAGCGGUUCACCUCGGGAAGUAACUGAUAGACCCUUAGAUCGGAGUGGGCUAGGAGAUCCGGUGAACCUACCUUGUCCAGGUGCAGAUGAGGAACUCCCGGUGCCGGCCAUGGUGAGUACUAAUCUUGUGCAUGUAGUUAGUUGGUUAGUGGAUUGACUAGCCGGGUCAUGCGUGCAUGCAUUAGAUGGAUAAGUAGAUGUGUGUGUGGCGUAGUGGUCACGGUAGCUAGGCUGUUAGGAGUGGCCGGUGGAGCUGGCCGCGUCGCUCGCAUGGCGCGCGUCGUGCGCAUGGCCGGUUCGCCCGCUGCAUGCAGCGGGGGGCUAGCUACGAGGAAACGUAAGGGCUGCGUCGCUGGGCGUCUACAAAGCCACGGCUGCCAGUGUGUGUUUUUGGGGAGCUGAGUACGUGCUCAGGGAGAGAAAAAAAGGAUGCCGUUCGAGCGGCGGGUGGCGUAUGUGCGCCUGAAAAACACUUGUGUCUCUGUCCUUCUUCCUUCUCCUUCCUUCCUCUUCCUCUGGUGAUCUAGUUCAGAGAGAGAGAAAGGUGCAGCAAGAGCGAGAGCGAGAGCAAGGGCAUAGCCACGGCAACAACAACGGUGGCCGGUGAUGGCAGGGAGUGGAUGGCGGCGGUGUGUGGGCAGUGGCGGCGGCGGAGCUUCCCGUCACUGUCAGCCCUAGACCUAGAUCGGGUCGGGGUUUUCGGUGGGGAGCCUGGCAACGCGGUGAACCUCGUACUGCGUGCCGCCGGCCCCCACCUCUUUAUGUAGCGCUGCGUGACAGGGGCCCGUCAACCAUAUUGUGGUUGGGCGCCCCCGAUCAGGGAGCGGAUCAGGGGUCCGUUGGGCCGUUGGGCCCACACGGGAGAGAUCAACCUAAUAUUCUCCCCCUUGAUCUCAACUUUACUUUUAACCUUAUACUUUCUAGUUUAUUUGUUUCAUCACAUAUUGGUACAUAGAGCAUGUUUCAUCGUCACAGCUUAAAUGCCGGUAGAAUCAUACAGCUACAACAUACGUUUUGUUCAGAAACAAAUUCUGUUUCUUUUGGGCCUAUCCAGGAAUCAUAAGGCUUUCUCUUAAACCCAUGCCGGCUAAGUAUUCCUUGAACACAUUGGGUGGUAAGCCUUUCGUUAGCGGAUCCGCAAGCAUAUCUUUUGUCUUUAUAUGCUCGAGACUUAUAGUUUGAUCCUGGAUUUUAUCUUUCACAACAUAAUACUUUAUCUCUAUUAUUUUGGCAGCACUACUCGACUUGUUGUUGUGAGCGUAAAAUACCGCGGGCUGAUUGUCGCAGUACAUCUUUAGUGGUUUGUGAAUACAAUCUACCACUUUCAAGUCGGGUACAAAUUUCUUUAGCCAUAUCGCCUGCCCCGUGGCUUUGAAGCAUGCUAUGAAUUCUGCAUACAUCGUGGAUGAUGCAACUGUCGACUGUUUGGAGCUUUUCAACGAAAUAGCUCCUCCAGCGAGGGUGAAUACGUAUCCUGACGUGGAUUUUCUAUCAUCUUUGUCCCCCGCAAAAUCUGCGUCUGAAUACCCUUUUAUCUCUAGGAAAUCAGAUCUCCUGUAUGUUAGCAUGUAGUCCUUCGUGCCUUGCGCAUAACGCAAUGCUUUCUUUACCAUCUUCCAGUGCUCUAUGCCGGGAUUCUCUUGAUAUCUACCGAGUACCCCGAUGAUAAAGGCUAAGUCAGGGCGAGUGCACACUUGUGCAUACUGUAAGCUGUCAACUGCCGAAGCAUAUGGUACUCCUUUCAUUUGAUCGAUCUCAUACUGAUUCUUGGGACAUUGAAAUUUCCUAAAAUUGUCGCCCUUAACUAUAGGAGCAGGUGUGGCUUUACUCGCAUGCAUAUUAUACUUUUUAAGAACCUUCUCCAAAUAUGCUUUCUGCGAUAGUCCUAAGACUCCAUUGUUUCUAUCUCGGUGAAUUUCUAUGCCCAAAACAUAUGAUGCUUCACCAAGAUUUGUUAUGUCAAAAUUCGAGGAUAAGAACUUCUUUGUUUCUUGUAGUAGACUAACAUCACUGCUAGCAAGCAGAAUGUCAUCCACAUACAAGAUUAGGAAAAUAUAUUUCCCAUUUUUAAAUUUUGCAUAAAUGCAGUUAUCCUCAAUAUUUUCUUUAAAUCCAAAACUUUUAAUCGUUUGAUUAAACUUUAAAUACCACUGCCUAGAGGCUUGCUUUAAUCCAUAAAUGGAUUUCUUUAGGCGGCAUCCCAUAUUUUCCUUGCCUUCCAUGAUAAAACCCUUGGGCUGUUUCAUGUAUACAUUUUCUUUUAAAUCUCCGUUGAGAAAUGCCGUCUUUACAUCCAUUUGAUGUAACUCUAAAUCAAAAUGAGCAACUAAUGCCAUUAUGAUUCUGAAGGAAUCCUUACAUGAGACCGGAGAAAAUGUCUCUUUGUAAUCUAUCCCUUCUCUUUGUGUAAAUCCUUUUGCCACGAGUCGUGCUUUAUAUUUUUCUAUAUUCCCUUUAGAGUCAUACUUAAUUUUGUAGACCCAUUUGCAGCCUACUGAUUUGGCUCCUUUAGGAAUUUCCUCUAAGUCCCAAACAUCUUUGGAACUCAUUGAUUUUAUCUCGUCUUCCAUUGCCUUCAUCCACAUCGAUGAAUGAGGGCUUCUCAUGGCUUCUUCAUAUGAGGUUGGAUCUUUUUCCAUAUGAACCAUUUCUGUGUUAUAAACUUUAAAGUCAGUAGAAAUAGCUGACUUUCUUGAUCUUGUAGACCUUCUAAGGGCCUCAGUUUCUGGCACAUUCUGUGCCUCAACUUCUGGCACUUCUUCUAAAAUUUGCUGUUGCACCUCCCUUUCAUGCUCAACAACGGGUUCAGUCGGCUCCUAACGGACAGGUUCCGGGUCUGCCCCCAUAGUUGUCAUGGGUGGAGUUGCAACUGGUAGUGAGAAAAAUGGCUCCUGAAUCAUCGGAUUAGGUGCAUGCACCCUCUUCUCCUCAAGAUCAAUUUUCCGAGCUACCAAGCUCCCCCUCAUCAUUUCGUCCUCUAAGAAGACUGCAUGUCUCGUUUCUACAAACUUUGUAUAUCUGUCUGGGCAGUAGAAACGAAAACCCUUUGAUCUGUCUGGAUAGCCAAUGAAGUGGCAACUCACUGUUUUGGAAUCUAACUUUCCAAUGUUUGGAUUAAACAUUUUGGCCUCAGCAGGGCACCCCCACACCCUGAAGUGUUGUAGGGAUGGCACCCUUCCUGUCCAUAGCUCGUACGGUGUUUUGGGCACCGACUUGCUUGGUACUCUAUUGAGAAUGUGAAUGGCGGUUUUAAGCUCCUCCAUCCAUAAUCCUAAUGGCAAGUUGGAAUAACUCAUCAUGCUGCGCACCGUAUCCAUAAGUGUACGGUUGUGCCUUUCAACUACUCCAUUUUGCUGAGGUUCGCCCGGCAUUGAAUACUGGGCAACAAUGCCAGUCUCCUGCAAGAACUUUGCAAAAGGUCCAGGGACUUGGCAAUAUGGAGUGUGCCGACCGUAGUACUCUCCCCCACGGUCGGACCUAACUAUCUUUAUUCUUUUAUCAUGCUGAUUUUCAACUUCAGCUUUGAAUAUUUUAAAUUUAUCCAACGCUUCAGAUCUUUAACAACGUUGGUCAUAAAAAUAACAUCAUCAUAUUCUUUCCGAUAAUUACUUUAACAUGCUCUUAAAAACAUAAUUCUUUUAAAAUUUUAUUUUCUCUGUAAAAGAGCACUAAUAAUAAUUUACGCAGUGGAAAAACGUGAAUAAAAAUUCACGAACUUUUUACUUUUGACAGAAACUUUUCUUUGAUAAAAAAAAUAAAAUAAAAAUUCAUGAACUUUAUUAUUAUCUCUGUAAAAUUCAUGAACAUUUCUUUUUCUGAAAAUUUUAUUUUUUUCAUUUUCAGAACUUUUUCUGUCACUUUUCUAUUUUCUAAACAAAAAAAUUUCGUUGGAAAAAAAUUUUGCAUAGAAAAACUGUAUGAAAUAAACUGUUUAACUUUUGCCUAAAAAAAAUUGGGCAAAUGAACAGGCAGCUGGUUCGGCUUGGGCCCAGCGCGCGUUGCUGCGGCCUCGCUCGAGCACGCCCGCGGCGGCUGGUGGUUGGCGGCCUCAGCCCAGCGCCUCCACUUUUGGCCCAAGUGGCCUGCAACGGGUUAGGGUUUCGAUCUGAGCCGUCUCUGGAGAUCCGACGGCCAGGCGCCCAUUUCGCUCGAACAAAACAGCGAGUCAGACCCCAGUCCAACCCUAGCGCCCCCACUCUUUCUCGAUCUCUCUCUCGACCGCUCGCGCCGCUCUCGGCCGCUCGCUCCUCUCUCGCCCGCCCGUCGGUCCCGGUGCGCGAGCCACCGCCGGCGCGGCGAGCCAGGGCGGAGCGGCGAUCCAGGGCGGUGCCCUGACGAGACAGCACCUUCUCCCUUCCCUCCCCUCUCCGUUUUCUCUUUGACACAGAGAGAGAGGCGCCUGCAGCGCUGUCGGGACUCCGCCGGCCGCUGGCGACGGCGAUAGGCCACCGCGCCGCGCGAGCCGCGCGCGAGCUUCUCCCUUUCCCCAUUUUCCCCUUCCACCUCACGCCUUCUUCUCAGAGAGAGAGCCACGAGCAGAGUCAAACUCUGCUCCCCCUAUGCGUUCGACGGUGGAACACCCGUUUCCGCGGCGGCCGUUGCCAUCCCAUUCGCCGGUGGCGCGUUCCCCUCGUGGUGAGCGCGCCGCCGUCGAGCGGUUUGGCGAGCGGCGCCCUUUGCCCCUCUCGGGGUGGUGUUCUUCUUCCGGCGCCUCGGCUUGCCGAUGCGCGUCCGGAUCGAGAGGAACAUGUGCGGCCAUGACGGCGGCACAACUUUUCUUUUAGGUUUCUUUGCCCUUCUAGGGUUCUUUGGGGGGAGGAAUUUUCUUUCUGUUUCUUUGAUGUAUUCUUUUUACCGAAAAUCUUCUAGCCCGAUCUGGCUACCUGAUACCAUUGAUGGACCCUUAGAUCGGAGUGGGCUAGGAGAUCCGGUGAACCUACCUUGUCCAGGUGCAGAUGAGGAACUCCCGGUGCCGGCCAUGGUGACGGUGGCCGGUGAUGGCAGGGAGUGGAUGGCGGCGGUGUGUGGGCAGUGGCGGCGGCGCAGCUUCCCGUCACUGUCGGCGCUAGACCUAGAUCGGGUCGGGGUUUUCGGUGGGGAGCCUGGCAACGCGGUGAACCUCGUACUGUGUGCCGCCGGUCCCCACCUCUAUGUAGCGCUGCGUGACAGGGGCCCGUCAACCAUAUUGUGGUUGGGCGCCCCCGAUCAGGGCGCGGAUCAGGGGUCCGUUGGGCCGUUGGGCCCACACGGGAGAGAUCAACCUAACAGUAACGACGUGUUAAACAACACGUCAACUCACAAAGCUUGCUGGGACAAUAAUCUGUAGGUUUUCCCUUGUUGAAGCACUACGCAUGCCUGUUGAAAGUAAGAUAAUUGGCAUGCAGAACAAUUAGAAAAAAAAUGAAACAAAACAUAUUUAAUUUGAGGCCAUAGUUUGAGACUAUAGUGGCUCACCGGAAUUGUCGUUGAUGGCAGAACACUGAGAUCCUUUGCUUUCCUUUAUUCUGAACUUUUGUAUUGACCCUGUAGUCCAUUGCGGCCUCAACUAUCAAGUAUUUUAGAUAUUUAUAUAGCGUAGUAGGAGCUUGUCCUGUUAUUUCAUCAUAGAAAGGAAAUCCAUAAUGUGUAUUAUAUAGUUACUUGACCAAUUUCCUUUCAAGCUUGCAGAUAUAAAGAAACCCGAUGCUAUAUAUUUCUCAAACUGGAAACACGUGCUAUAUUUAAAAUCAAAGAUGCAGUUGAUGGGUGACAGCCAUUUUUUCCUAAUUCAUUAGCUAAUACAAUAAUAACAACACAUGCUUAUUAGUUUUACAAACUGAAGGGACAAUAAUGAAUAGAAUUGCACAUGGGGAUUUGACAAAAUUAGGAAGGAUGUGAAGAUAUUAAUAAGAUAAUCUUAAUUCAGAACUGGGGGAAAUCUGACCUCACAACUGAGGGAUAUAGUCGGAUGUGAAUUCCGUAUAAAAAUAGGUUUAUUCACUUUACAAUAACUGACGGAAAUCUGAACUCAUAAGUUAAUUAUUAGUACAUGUACAUCUCAAAAUAUUAUAUAUACUCCCUCCGUUCCUAAAUAUUUGUCUUUUUAGAUAUUUCAAAUAGACUACCACAUAUGGAUGCAUAUAGACAUAUUUAGAGUGUAGAUUCACUCAUUUUACUCCGUAUGUUAGUCACUUUUUGAAAUCUCUAGAAAGACAAAUAUUUGAAAACGGAGGGAGUAGACUAUAAGAUAUUUUUUAUGAUCAUUCUAUCCUACAACUGUACAUGGCGUAAAGAAUAAUGAAGCAUCAAUUGAAUCGGUAAUCUAAAAAAUAAAAAAAACAUGGAAGAUGCAGAUGUCUAAGCAACAAUUACAUGCAAAUGUCGUACUUGAUUUUUUGUCAUGACUCAUGAGUUGUCAAUGAUUAGAUUUUUUUAUGAAGAAUCCCACAUAACAGAGAGGAGGUCUGCAAAAUGACAAAGCAUCAAUAAUCCAUCUGAUAAUAUAUUUCCUUUUAUUCCUACGCACACCCUGUAUAGCAUUACAUAUCCUUUUUACCUUCAGAUUCCACUUCCAUUUGUGCAUAUGCUUGCAGUUUAUAGAAUGCAACCAUUUGCAAAAUGAACACGUAUUAAUUGAACUGAUGUACGUCACAGAUGCCAUAUGAUGGGGUCAAACACUGUAACCUUCCUAGUUUUCCGACGGACCUUCAAGCAGUAUAGGAACAUGACUAGAGAUAACAGGGAAUGGGCUAGUACAUACGAAUCCAACAUUGGGAAGAAACUUACAUAAUAUCAGUUAUCGCCUUAUAGGUCAACGGCCUCGACUUAAUGCUUGAUGAUGCUUUCGGUACCUUGCCACCCGUAUGCUCUGGACAUCUUCUCCUCGCUGGAAUAAUUAGAAGAACAUUGUGCCUAGUCCACUUUAUGUACAGCCACCCUCCCAAUCUUCAGCUCCAACGCUCUACUUCUCUCUCUUCAUUAACCGAACCGUUCCCCCACAACUACGCAUGAAUCAACUGUCAGAUACAGAGAUUGCUUCCCCCAAUUUUACUCAAAAAAGUUGAGGAUGCAACCGUGGUUCAGACAUGCAGUACUCAUGCCUCUGGCCGGGAUGUACUGCUGCGAAUAAAGAGUGCCUAUUCAUGGUGGUAGCAGGAGGAUGUGCAAUGGCCUUCUUUGGUGACGUGGGAGGCUGAAGGGAUAGCUGUGAGGACCAGGAGUCGACCAUAGUUUCUCAAGGACGAGAGUUGCCCUAUCUGCAUCAAAAUGGGUAUAGAUAGAUAGAUAGAUAGAUAUGGUACCGAUUUCUUAACGCAAAUUUCCUACAAAUUUCGUAGUGCUUAGGAGAAGCCCUGCGAGGAUCACUUCAUCAUCACCGUCAUCACACCGUCGUGCUGACGAAACUCAUCUACUACAUUGACCUCUUGCUACAUCAAUAAGGCGAGGGACGUUACCGAGCUGAACGUGUGAAGAACGCGGAGGUGCUGUGCGUUCGGUACUUGAUCGGUUGCGUUAAGAAACGUUUCUUAAGAAAAAUAGAUAGGUAUAGAUAGAUAGAUAUGGUACUGAUUUCUCUAUGAAAAGGAAAGAAAUAUAAUUCUACACUAAUUAGUUUUAGGAAAACUCUCAAGAAAAAUAGAAGUGUUGAUAAGUGAAACAUCUCGUACCAUCUUGAGAGCUCUAAAUUUUCAAAGCACCUUUUGGCAGUGGCGGUGCCAGGAUUCAAACCUUGUGAUGUCAAGCUUUACUUAUAAUUUUUUUACAUACAAUUUAAAAUGAACCAGGAAGAUCAUACUUUAUUACAAAAGUACAAAACAUAUUUAUGGUAGCAGCUCUCCGCGAUCAUGCAUACUUUGAUAUGUAUGCAUAAUAGCAUCAGUACUAAUAGAGUGAAAUACAUCAUUUUCAACAUAAGUAAUGAGACAAUGAUACAAGAAAUCAUCACCUAUUCUAUUACGCAAAUCAGACUUGAUAUAUUUCAUUGCAGAAAAUGCUCUCUCAACUGUCGCCGUUGCAACUGGCAAAAUCAAUGCUAGCUUCACCAAAAGAAACACUAGAGGAAAACUAGUAUACUUCUUUGUUUCAACUAGUUUUCUGCAAAGAUCACUAACCCCUUUUAAAUUGGAGAGUCUUGUAUCAUCACGAACAUUUUCGAGGAAGUUGUCAAGUUGGACGCUAAGAUCUUCAAUCUUGCUUUCACUUUCAAAAUCAUCAAGAUACAGACGAGCCAUUGCUAAUACUUUAUCCUUAUCAAAGUUAGAGAACGAAUCAGAAGGAUCCAAACAAGCCAUGCCAAGAAGCAAUGUCGUGUUGCUCUCACUAAAGCGGUCAUCAAGCUCUACACAUAAUAGAUCGAUAACAGCAUACGUCACACUUUGGUAGUAAUCCUUAUUCGUUAUGCCAUCAAUCUGAGCUUUACACUUUGAUUUUGAUCCUCGAGGAAUAUGCAUAUCAUUCAUAUCUAGAAGUUGAAUAUCAUGUUUGAGGCAAAAAUGAGUAACCUUUGUAAACAUACCUUCCCAACCUUGGUUUCUCAUUUCUUGUAGCCUUCUUUUUGUUGUACAAAGAUAUGACACAACAUUCACAAUAUCUUGAUCCUUCCUUUGCAAAGCCAGAUUCAAAUCAUUAGUAAUCCCAAGUAUAACCUUCAUCAAGUGCAUCAUGAAAACAAAGUCAAAUGUAUGAAUAGCAUCAAGAACUCCUUUUGCUUUAAGCCUAUCUAGAGCUACAUCUGAUUCAGUGGUUGCCGUGAAGAAUUUGCUACAUCUGAUUCAGACCGCCACUUUUUUACGAAUUUAUCCAUUUACUGACAUGACGACCUGACAAAAAAAUGAUAGUGCUAUGAAAAAUGAGAUCCAAUUAUUUCUUUUUUCUGGAAGUUUUCUUUUCAUUUGUUUUGGAUUUAACAAGAUCCAUUUUUCUUAAUGAAGAUUGAAGAGCAAUCUAUAAAUCUAUAAUAUCAUAGUUCCUACUUCCUAUACAGCUCGUAAAAGAUAAUAAUUAGAAGAGAAAAAAACUUACAAACGGGAGGGGUUCUCGUUCUGGUGUUGGAUGCGAUGCCAAUCACUAUCAAUACAGGUAUAGUGUACAGCAAUACCGGAUGCUGACGGACGCCGCCGGCGUCGACGGGAACGGUGUGUCACUCGCUCCUCAUGGCUAAGAUCGCUGACGCCUGACGGAGAACAUGACGAUUGGCGAAGCUGCGGCGGCCGGCGGCUGUGCACGGACAAUGGUCAUGGAGGCUGUGGAGGACCGAAGGAGUAGAUGGAAGCAAAGUCAAACCGUCAAAGAGGAGAUCACGGGAGCCCAGGCUUACACGUUGGCAAACCACACAUGCUCUAAUGCACCAGCUCCCAUUGAAUUUUUUUAGCCCAGCCAAAUGUCACACAAAGCUAAUACGGCUGGCCGACUGGGCCUUUACGUAGUCAUACAUUACCUGGGGUAGUUAACUUACUGUGUAGUCGCUUGACUACAUGGCCACAACGUGGCUUCGCCUCUGCCUUUUGGGUUACACGUGCAGCUGUUUUUGAGAGCUCUCCCAAUUAGAGAAGAGCAUAGGCUGGGCUGCACGUGCAGCUGUUUUUGGGAUUUUUCUUGGGACUGCAUCUUAGGUUGCUCCUGUCCAUCACUAAUGUGCACAACGCAGAACCAAAAAAAUGUUGGGAAUCGUUGGAUGAAAAAUAAAAAAAAUUCUACGCACACGCAAUGAUCUAUCUAUGGAGAUUCAUAGCAAUGAAGGGGAGAGUGUGUCUACGUACUCUCAUAGACUGUAAGCAGAAACGUUUCUUAACGCAACCGAUCAAGUAUCGAACGCAUAGCACCUCCGUGUUCUUCACACGUUCAGCUCGGUAACGUCUCUCGCCUUAUUGAUCUAGCAAGAGGUCAAUGUAGUAGAUGAGUUUCGUCAGCACGACGGUGUGAUGACGGUGAUCAUGAAGUGAUGUCGCAGGGCUUCUCCUAAGCACUACAAAAAUAUGACCGGGGGUGUAAACGGCGGAGGGGGGGCACCGCACACACGGCUAAACAAUUGUCUGGUGUGUGCUAGGUGAUGAAGUCAUGUACCUGGGGUAGGGUCAUAGACCUGUCCAAGGUACCCUCCCCGAGGACAUCUUUAAUUAGAAGAAUCCGUCUUCCAGUCGACCAAGAGGGACUCCACUCGACGGACGAGAAGACACUCGACAAACCUGAAGACACUCGAUCAUGAAGACUCACUCGACCACUAGGAGUUCAAGAUCUACUCUGUAUCGAAACGGUCUGUAAUUAAGUAGUCUUUAUGAUCAUGAUGACACUUUAUGUAGGGCGUUACCAAUAACGUCCGACCUUAAUGUACUUUAAACCCUCCGCUACGUGGGCUGGCUGGGGUCUUGGCAUCCACUAUAUAAGCCACCCCCUUCCACUGGCAGAAGGGUUGGCACCCCUGUAACUCUCACACAUAUAAUCCAGUCGACCGCCUCCAGGCUCCGAGACGUAGGGCUGUUACUUCCACAGAGAAGGGCCUGAACUCGUAAAAACACUCGUGUGUACAACUACUCCAUAGCUAGGAUCUUGCCUCUCCUUAGUACCCCCUACAUUACUGUUAGACUUAGAACCACGACACUAGGCGCCCCAGGUAGGCGGAGGGGAGAGGCCAGGAGGCACCCCAAGUAGGACCGAAUCCUACUUGGGCUCCUCCCUAGUCCCCCCCCCCCCCAUCCGAGGGUAAUAACAAUGCCACUAAGACAAUGUUUCAUAGAAAACUUCACUAUUUUUAUUUUUUUAGUUCUUAUAUUAUUUUCUUUUUUAAGGGUAAUACAAACACUAUUCAUUCAUUCAUUAGAAAAUUUCUUGUUUUGUGGAAAUUUCCAUUUUCCUUCUUAAAAGCUUAUUUUUAUUUCAGUCUUGCUAAGUCUCAGUCGACUGAGAUUUAGUUAAGUCUCAGUCGAUGCUAUAUCUGUGAGAUCUUAUAUUAAGAUCUGUGCAAUUUCUUUUUUCAGUUUUUCCUUUUCUCUUUAGCAUGUUAUUUCACUUGACCGAGACUUGGUUAAAUCUUAGUCGACUGACAUCUAGUCACACCCUAUUUCCAUUUAAAUAAGGGUCGGUCGACUUAGACUUAAACAUACCCUUACACUUUUACAAUUUGCAUUUUACCGCGGAGCGAUGUGGCCUGCUCCUGGACGACCUUCCAGGCUUCACGGACAUGGCGGUCCUCGGUGAGGGUGCUCCCGACGGCGCACCGGAGCAUGUAUAUGCCACCUGCAUUGGCGGCGCUCAUGUAGGGGCCCAAGGUGGCAGUGUUCACCUCCUCGAGGAGCCUGCGGUUGAGCUCGUUGGCCUUUUUCUCGCCGCCUAGCCGCUCCGUAGGGAGAAGACGGAAGCACACGAGCGCGAAGUGCCUGUCGGUUACCACCUCGAACCUGGCGUCGCCUCUUACGAGUUCCUCGAACGCGGCUGCCAUGCGGAUGUGAGACCGGAUGUGGUCGCGGAGGCCGUCGACGCCAUAGCAGCGGAACACGAGCCACAUCUUGAGCGCGCGGAAGCGGCGGGUGAGCGUCAUCGUCCAGUCCUUGUAGUCCACCACGUCGUGCCCCUCCGCAGCGGCGUCCUUGAGGAUGUACUCCUGCUCCGUGCCUAGGGCCGCCACGAGCGCCGCCGGCUUCUUCACCCACAAUGCACAACAGUCGUUGUUGGCCAGCAGCCACUUGUGUGCGUUCAUGCUGAAGGAGUCUACUGCCUCAACUCCGUCGACCACGUGGCAGAAUUCCGGGCAGACCAGCGCCGAGCCUGCGUAGGCCGCGUCGACGUGGACCCAGAGGCCAUGCGUUGCCGCGACGGCGCAGAGCCCACGGAUGGGGUCGACGGCGGUGGUCUGGGUGGUGCCGACCGUUGCGCAGAGGAAGAGUGGCACCAGCCCUGCGUCCACGUCUGCCUGCAUGGCGGCCUUCAGUGCCGCUGGCGAAAGAGCGAACAUGUCGUCAAGUGAUGUAGGGAUCUCGCGGCAGUAGCCGCGCUGGAUUCCAGCGAUACGCGCCGCUUUGCGGAACGAGAAGUGCGUCUGGUCUGAGCAGUACACGACGAGGUCGCCGAUCCUCCCCCAGCCAACCUCCGCGAGCUUCCGGUCCCUAGCGGCGACAAGGGCGCAGAGUAUGGCCUCGCAGGACGUACCCAGCAGCGUGCCUCCGCCGCCUCCGGCGAACAGAAGGCUUGCUGGCAGGUGGAGCGCCUUGCCGAGCCAGUCCACAACGACCAUCUCGAGCUCCGCGGCGGCAGGCGAGGCGGCCCAUGUGAACGGCACGACGUUGAUGCCGGCGAUCAGCGCCUCGCCUAGGGCACCGGCGGUGCUGCUCGACGCUGGGAAAUGAGCGAAAUGGCGAGGGCUCUGCCAGUGCGUCAUUCCCGGCAGGAUGAGGUCGCGGAUGUCCUGCAGCGCGGAGGCCCAGGCGUCGGGCUCCGGCAUGGGCGGCGCGUCGGUGGGGAGCUGGUCGCGCAGGAAACCAGGGGUGACAUUCGGGCGGACUGGGUGGUCUCCCAUGCCGGACCAGUAGUCGGCGAUGAAGUUGAUCACCUGUUGACCCUGACGCCGGAACUCAUCGGCGUCCAGCAGGUUCACGCACCGAGGUGGCGACUCGGCAGAAGGAUUCUGCUUGAGCGUGCCAGCAGUCAUGGUUUUGCAUAUCGGGGAUGCAGGCGCCAUACUCUCUAUAGUUGCUAGGUAGUAUGGUAGAUCUCGAAAACAUGAACUAGCUAUUAAUACAAGGAGGCUGAUCACAUGCCGGAGACCAGUUCAAAACAGAAGUAGACAUAGUGUAGGAACAUAUCAUAGAAUAUUACAAUAACAAAAAUUUGGUGAAAAGGAUAUCGGAUUUUCUAGUGUUCUAGAUCUUGAAAAAGAUUUUCAUUUUUCUAGUUUUCUUUUCUUUAUUUUGUGAAGCGAGAGCAAAUAAUUUGGAGAAAAAGAUUUCGAAUUUUCUAGUUUUCUAGCUACUUUUGCACUAAAAGAAGAUCAUAUCUAGUAAUUUAAAUUUGGUCGACAAGUGUACUCUAGUUUGCUCCUAAAUAUUUCCAAAAAUGUUAUUAAGGUAGCCAAGUAGGGUUUUAUGGAAUAGACAUUGAGGAUAUGAAAGAAUCAUGUUCUAUGAAUAUAUCUGCCGGUGCUUUUUACCUUAUUUUGAAAAAAAAAACAAAUAAAAUGAAGAAAAUAUUAAAAAAACACAAACCUUUGUCAUGGAAUCCUUUUAUGUCUAGUGCUUGCUCGGAAAAAUGAUAAACUUGAAUUUUACAAAUUAAAAAAACACCCUAAAAAUGCCCUAUCGUGAAUGAACAUCAAUGUCUUAAUUUGAAGCCAAAUAAUCAAUCUGAUGAUUAUAUCAAUGGAAUAGAUCAUGAUAAUGUGCCCUUUUUGGCACAAUGGUGCAUAUCGGCAGGCCAAACAAUAUGUCCAAAAGCAGUUUCUAAAUUUAUACUUAAAUAGAUUUUUUUUUCAUUUGGAAAUGCCAAAGUGGAGAUUUUUGUGAAGCAAGUACAAAUAAUACAUGUUGAAAAUGGCACUUCUCGAAUUUUUACAGAAAGUGGACCAUAGUAGAAGGAACAAUGCCCAGAGAUUUUUAAUUCUCUAUUUUGUAUCUACUUUUUUCAAUUCUAAGUGAAUUUUAACAGAUUUCCUAAAAUUAAUUCAAAUUUGAAAUACAAGUGUGCUAUAGUUUAGUCCUAGAAAUUGAAAAAAAUCAUGUUAAGGUACCCAAAUGGUAUUAUAUGUGUGGAAUUAUUGAAUAGAUUUGCCUGUGAUUGUAGCCCCAUUUUGGAAAAUCAAAGAAAAAUAAAGAAAAUGAUAUCCUUUCGCAUUGGGUCCAUUUAUGUAUACUAGUUGCCAUGAAAAGUGAUACACUUCGAUUUCGACAACUUCUCGAAUACGCUUGUCCUUUUAAAUUGAUCAAUUUUGUAGAAAAAUAUAUCAAAAUCCAUAAUAUUAAAUUGGUGUGAUGUGAUUCAUCAUGAAAUAAAUUUCCAUAAUAUUUUGUUCAAUAUUGAGAUGUCGAUAUUUUUUGCUUUGAACUUUGGUCAAAGUUAAAAAAAUCGACUUUCCAAAAAAAAUGAUACCCCUUAUAUUUUAGAACUAAUGGAAUAUUUAGUUUGGAGCAUGGGGGAGAUGAUGGAGUUUUUUUUAUUUUCAGUUAUAAUGUGAUGAUUUGAUGGGCCUUUUGUGGUGUGGUUCUGUGUUAUCCACUAACUAAUGUAUAUUUAUGUGGGGAAAUUUGUGCAUCGGUGACUGCAUGUACUAUACUUUUGUUAGAAAAAUAUGUACUAUAUUUUUGCUACAGUAUCACAUGGUGACGCUUCUUUUCUCUAGGUGGAGGGAAGGAGCGUGGGAUUGAUGUAUUUUUAUAGGCCGGUUGUUGCUGAUUAAUUUCAAAAAUCAUUGGCCUGGUCAAAAUCAUAAACCAAAUCCAAAUUUGAAUAUCUCAAUUGGAUGAAAGAUCUUUGAAAUGGGAACACGGGGAAUUAAAAGAAUUGAAUGAGAGGGCCCUUGAGAAUUGUUGACCCUGUCAAAAUCGGGCUGAACCAAUUCUAAAUUGAAGAUCUGAAUUAAUUGUGAGGUCUUAAAAAUUAGGAAGCAUAGUGUAUAGCAUAAAUGAAUUCAAUGAGAUAGCUUUGAGAAAUUGUUGACUCGGUCAAAAUUUGGUCACCCAAUCUCAAUUGGAGACCUUAAUUGAAUGUAGGCUCUUUAAAAUUAGGGAGCAUAGUGUUAUAGAGGAUCCCUAUCGUGGUAGGUAAGACUUGUCUUCGAGCUACAACAUUGACCCUGACUUUUCAUACAUAUAUGCCAAUGGAACUUCUAAAAUUUGCAUUUUGAAGAUGUCUUACCACGUGGUAAUCUAAUAUGGCAGCGUUAUGAAAGAUCAAGAUAUGUUUGUUGACUGUUGAACUAUAUCACGUUGUCCUUACUUUACGAUAUGUCAUGGAAAACUCACUGAAGAAAUAGAUUAUUACGUACACUACUGGAAUUCGACACUUUGCCUACUGUAUGGUCCUUUAUCGAAUUCGUUUUACCAGAAACUCAAACUGAGCUGUUUUUCAAGUCCUAGUUAGCUACACUCGGUGAAGAAAAGAAAAUCACUCGCCAAAAUAUGGGAAAAAAAGCAAUGGACAAAGAAAAACACUCGGCAAAGAACAACACUCGGAAAAGGUGGUGGUCCAGUGUCCCAGCUCAAUGUGGAUUACAGAAAGCAGACCCGCAGCCUAUUUGCCGAGUGUCCCUUGGCACACACUCAACAAAGGUUGUCUUUUUUCCACCGGCUCAUUUUGCAUAACUUAGUUCAUGAUAAACAGUCCAUAUUUGUCACACAGUUGCAUCUUACCAAGACAAAUAAUAUCACCAAAAUGAGUUUCUAACUUUUUGUUACAAAAUAAUCUUAUUUUUCUUUUCAUUUUCUAAGUGUCAAAGUUGGUUUUCUGAAGCAACUGCAAAUAUACAGUGGAAAGAGGCACUUCUCCAAUUUUCAUACCAGGUAUACCAUAAUCGAUGGAAAAUUGCGGAACAGUUUGAAUUUUCUAACUUUCUACCUACUUUCACGUAUUUUAAUGAAUUUUGACUGAUUUUCUAAAAAUAAUUCAAAUUUGAAAUACAAUUGUGUUAUAGUUUGCUCCAAAAAAUUCCCCAAACCCAUUUUAAGGUACCAAAAUAGGUUUUAUGCAAUUGACAGAGGGUGUUGAACGAUUCAAGCCACUAUUCUAGAAAGAUGUGCCGGCCAUAUUGGCCCGGUUUUGCAAAAAUGUCAAAGAAAAUCGCUGCAAGGGAAUCCCCCCAUGGAUGUGACCAACAGUUCUUGACGUGUCUAAAAUCCCUGCAAGGGAAUCCGCCAAGAAGGUCUAGCCCUUUCUAACUUGCAGUUUAUUUCGAAAGAAAGGUCUAGCCCCCUCGUUAAUGGGCAUCGCUAUCUGGCCCUCGUAAACCAGUUGCGUAAGUAUAUAUGAAUAAAAAUAUAAAAUCAGACUAGCAGCUCUUUUUUAUAAGCACCUCCCGCAAGAAGGCCCGGCUAUAAGUGGUCAUACGCUAUAAGUUCAUGACAACCGCCACCAGAGUUUUUCUUUUCAAUUCAUGAAUGAUCUCAUGUAACCCAAGUUCUCCAUCAUGGAUCAAUCUACCUUUAAUGAAAGCCGUCCAUCAUGUAAAUGCGGUUAGCAAACGCUUUUGAAAUAAGUUUAAAAAUUACAUUGAUACGCCCGCGAUCGGGCAGAACUGCUUGAUCGAACCUUGCGUACGAGUGAUAGAAUGGCGAAGUUUGCAUUGCAUUGCAUCUGAGUCAAUCCGUACGACUUGGACUGAAACUGAGCGUUCCGACUUUAUUUCUUCAGGUAACAGGACAUUUUAUAUUUCAUGAGAACAGACGACACAAUAAAGGACAAAUAUUUGGUCGGUGCAUGUGUCCCUGAACAUGAGUCCUGGCUUUAAUCAAUCCAAGGAGUGACAGGUCAACUGGAAUGCCGCGACGUGAUCAUGCGCAAUGGUCAUGUAGACGUCGACGCCGCCCUUGGCCACGCACGAGGGCACGAAGACCAUCAGCCCCUCGACCGGCAAAUCGGGCGGCUGGAACGCGGCCGGUGGCCCGCCGCCGAAGUCAACUUGGUGGAAGCUGAACCCCAGCCAGCUGUCCACCUCCAUGUUCGGGCAGGACAUCAUGCCGGCUGUGCCCGUGAGCUCCUCCCCGUGCGCGUCAGCUACGGCCCCGAAGUCCACGAACGACCGGAUGUACUCGCCGUUGAUGCGUGCCACGGCGUCGCGAAUGGCGCCGACCACGCCGCCGUAGCUCCAGCCCAGGACGUCCCGGACCUGGAGCCUCGGGAACGCCCAGAGCACCAUGUUGCCGAAGAAGUCCAUGGGCACGGGAGGGUCGGCCCUGCCCCUGCAGUUCACGGCCACCCUCACCUGCGUGAACUCCUCGGGCGCGAGGCCGCGUGCCGCCGUGGUCCUCUUCCACAGGUGAGCGAGCAGGCACUGGAACGUGCUGCAGCGGGCGCCUACCCGGGCCUUGAGCUCGGCGAUGAACUCGGCGGUGAAGCGCACCGUGAUAUUCUUGAACUUGAACAGGGGGACGGCGGGAUCUUCUCCCUUGAACUCGGUGGACCGGUGGUCGAACACCGGCACGGGCACGCUCCGUGGCACGGCGGUGAUCGCCCGCUCGAGGAAAGCGGACGGCGCGGUGAAUUCCCAGCCCUGGCGAACCGCGCUCGCCCAGGUGGUGAGGAAGGUGCUCAUGGAGUGGCCGUCGGCGGUGUGGUGGUGGCAGGAAAGGCCGAUCGCUAGGCCGCCGCACUUGUACCGGUUUAGCUUGAUCUGCAGCAGCGCCACGUCGAAGUGCUCCUAUAAAUAGCGCAUGCAUAAUUGCAGAUAGAUCAAGCUAACUGCAUCCGGUAGCACGUGCAAACAAACCGAUGGUAGCCGUAAUUAGUAUUACCUCCGGUAGCGGCCGCGGAGGGUACAGACCCUCGGAGUUGGCGACGACGCUGCCGUUGGCCAAAACGCUCGACAGAUCGACGGGGACGGCGGCCUCUACGACAAGUACGCCCUCGUCGUUGAUGCGGAGGCAACGCCUGCCCCGGUGGUCGACGGCCAGGCGUCCUGCCAGGUGAGGGUACAGCGCGACGGCCCGGCGCAGGCCCUCCUUGAGCGCCUCGUUGGACGGAGCUGGCGCGGGGUACGCGAGGAUGAUGGGAAUGAAGAUGUCGAAGGUGGCGCGGUCGAAGAGCGUCAGUGGGACCAUCUCGCCGGCGAGAGGGUGCGGCGUGGGGUAGAACGGCUUCAGCAUCGUGCUGCUCCGGCUUGUCAUCUCCAUUUCGAAUUGCCCGUAGGUAGUGAACGCAUGCAUGUACAUACAUAUAGAGCAGCAGCGACGAAAAAAAAACCCCCCGAUAUUCUGCAGGCGAAGAUCCCCUUCCACAACAAACAAAAUAAAUUAGUUCAAAUUAGUAAGGGCAUCUCCAACGGCAACCCGUAAAUUUCCUCCCGCAUCCAUCUGCGGACAAGGGGAUAAGUCCGCGAACACGGAUGCGGGAGGAUGUCAUCCAGCCCUAGCCGCAUACAUUCGGCCAACCAGUGGUUGAGCUUGUGUNNNNNNNNNNNNNNNNNNNNNNNNNNNNNNNNNNNNNNNNNNNNNNNNNNNNNNNNNNNNNNNNNNNNNNNNNNNNNNNNNNNNNNNNNNNNNNNNNNNNNNNNNNNNNNNNNNNNNNNNNNNNNNNNNNNNNNNNNNNNNNNNNNNNNNNNNNNNNNNNNNNNNNNNNNNNNNNNNGUGGUUGGCCCCAUGAAGCUCCGCAACUACGGCCAACAAUUCAAACAAACCUUACAAAAUUCGAUCAAACUGGACGGAUUUCAUUCGAGUUCGGAUAUAAUUUACAUAAAAAGAUCGAUAUUUCGCCGUCUAAGUAAAAAACUAGAAAAAUCCCUAAACUUUAUACCGGACGACCACCUCGUACGCCUGACCACCCUACCCUGCUGCACCGUCGUGUACGUCGGUGCCGUCGUCGUCGUGGUCCCCCCCGCAGCGGAACAACGCCGGAGGGUCGCGACAGCCUUGUCCGCCGGCUGCCUGCCGCUCGCGGAGGAGCCGCCCCGCCUCCUGCUACGCCGUGCGGAGUGCCACCAUGGCCACUACCAACGUGGCCUUUGGAGCCCUGGUGGCGGCCUUGCCGUGACCGGCAUUGGCGGGGAAGUCUCUAAGCAACCACUUCUCCCCGAUCUUGGUGAGCUCGUCGUCAAGGCUGCGGCAAACGCCUGGCGGCCGUGUCCGCGGUGUUCACGGAGUGGCCAGCGCCCAUGCGACAGCGAGGUCUGGGUCAUUGCGGACCCAGUCCAGCGCCACAUCGCUCUUGCCAAACGCGGAGCGGCAACUGGCAUUGUGCCGGUCGUACCUCUCCUGCUGCCGAGCCAUGCACUCCGACUUAGACACGACGUCCCUCGACCCCAGGGACUACACCUGCUCCGAGGUAGUGGAGGAGGUAGUGGAGGAGGUGGCCCCGCGCCUUCUUGAUCGCAGGUAACAGUUCCUCCUUGUUGGCGAGGCGGUGGCAGCGCGGCGAUGACAACGGCGCAUCGAUGUGGCCAUACUGGCGGCGUAGUUGGGACGCUGGCUCCUCCAUGAACCGGCGUCUGCUCUGGACGCCACAGUGGUGUAGGAGAGACCGGCUCCUCCUUUACGCGUCGUUUGAUCUGAAUGCCAUGGUUGUGCCGGGGCGAGGCCUGUUCCUCCUUCACUGGCAGGAGCGUGGACGCCAGCUCGGGCUUCACGCGCUCGCACGUUGGGGACAGUGGCUCCUCCUUCACGCAGGUUGGCGAUGAUGGUGACAGCCCCAUGAAACGGUGCCACCACUCUGUCAUUAUAUCGAUCUGACGGAGGAAAUCUUCGUCUAUCACAACGGCCUCCUUGAGGUGUUGGGACAGUUGCGGCGGUGGUUCCUGCGACCACCGCUAUGGCGCCUGGAUCUCUUUUGUCACCGAAUGAGAUGACAGUCUCCUCCUUGGCGGAGGAGCCGGCCGCCAUGGACGCUGACGAACAUGGAGAGCAUGGCGGCGGCACCAGGAAUGGUCGGCGGAAUAGCCUCCGCCUACUCCGCCUGCUGGUGCGGAGCACCAUGACAUCGACAUCGCUUGUGCUUGGGUGGAAGAGGGGCAGGGAGGGGCUCGGGAUGGAGACGGGGGAGGGGAGUGGCCGGUGCUCGGGGAGGGGGGUGCGCCUCUAUGCAUCGCCGGCGCAUGGUUUAAAUAGCCGCGUCGAGGCCUAGGUGAAGGGGCGGUCCGCUUCAAUGCGGCGCAGCAGCCGGAGUUUGUUCCUCGGGAAUCUGCAUCCGCAAACGGCGGCCGCGUCGGUCCGCGCCGUCCUCACUUCAUCCAUCAAUGUCGGCCGCUGCGUGCUUUGGGCCGGCAUGAAUGUGGCGCGGAAAGCGGCGCGCGCAUCAAAAGAAAAGCGCGGGNNNNNNNNNNNNNNNNNNNNNNNNNNNNNNNNNNNNNNNNNNNNNNNNNNNNNNNNNNNNNNNNNNNNNNNNNNNNNNNNNNNNNNNNNNNNNNNNNNNNNNNNNNNNNNNNNNNNNNNNNNNNNNNNNNNNNNNNNNNNNNNNNNNNNNNNNNNNNNNNNNNNNNNNNNNNNNNNNNNNNNNNNNNNNNNNNNNNNNNNNNNNNNNNNNNNNNNNNNNNNNNNNNNNNNNNNNNNNNNNNNNNNNNNNNNNNNNNNNNNNNNNNNNNNNNNNNNNNNNNNNNNNNNNNNNNNNNNNNNNNNNNNNNNNNNNNNNNNNNNNNNNNNNNNNNNNNNNNNNNNNNNNNNNNNNNGGAAAAAUCAUGUUUGGACUGACAUGCGAACCAGUACAGGAUCGUGUUGGAUGGCUACCACGGUCCGAACAACGCGGUCCAGACAUUUGCGGGAGGUCUGCUGGUCCAAUGCCCUAAGGACAUAUAACGAUAAUGUCUGUCGAGCAUUACGAGGACCAACGUCUUCAUCGAGUGUCGACAACUUUGCAGGGUGUACUUUUUUCACACACUCGGUAAAGCCACUGACCAAAACUUGGUGUGAGAGAAAACACUCAAUAAAUCUACACAUCCCUAAGAGGUAAUAUCACUAGAAGUCUUAGAAAACUUGUAUUCGAUGUUCAGUUUUGUUCUAAAAUUUGCAAAAUAUGAAAUUGUGGUCAUAUAACUUGCCUUCGCGUUCAAAUAAGGUGCGUCCUCUCGUACCGGGACGUAUGGCCUGCUUACGUGGCCUGCCAGCAUAGGCCCAUCUGUAAGUGGCUCGAAGUUUUUUUUGCAGAUAACUCCCUUGCAUUUGAUUUAAUUGCGUACAAAAUCUGCCAAUUUAUAAUAAAAUGAAAAAAGAUGGUGAUGUUGUGGGUCGAAAAUACAAUCCGCCGCUAACCGUCUAGCAUGGACAACCACCAGAACGAAGUGUUUUGAAGUUUAAAUUGCACAAUUGUACUUUUUUUUUGAGGGGACACAAUUGUACUUUAUAUAUGUACUUUGAGAAGUAGGAUUGCAGAUAUGCCGCAAAGCAUCGUACAAUUUUUUCACGUCCAAUUGUUGCUCAGGUUUCUUCAUGUCCUCCGUUCCACACCGAGUCUCAUGUUUUUAAGUUCUAAACAAGUAUAUAUAUUUGCAUGGCAUUUGUAUCUCCCUACAAAGUUUAUUAUCUCCAUUUAAAUAGGGCAGAAGCCUAAUCACAUUGUUCUUUUUUUAAGUAAGUCUUCUCAGGCGGCAUCAUGUGCCGUUGGGUAUUAAUAUAGCUAGCAUGGCGUCUCAAUCGACAGUCAGCAAGAUAUGAGAUCAUGCAUGGGACUAAUAUCACACAACUUUGAAUGAUUCGACUGCAAGGUAGAAGGUACAUUCCAAUAAUUGGUUGGCCCUGAUACAUGGUGCAUGAAGUAGUACUAUAAAUGUUUUAAACACUGAUGCACUAUGCAUUUAUUACACAACAAACGGGAACAUGAUAGAUGGUCAUAUAUAUAGGAUUAUGGAGCACGAGCAAGUUAUAUGUAGAGUUCAAUGACCGAUCGCACCCCUAGGAUAGGUCGAAUUUUGUAAUUCACAAAUCCUGCUUCCGUGAAUAUCUUGUUCCAGUCUUGCUCAUAUCGUUCUUUGGCCAUAAAUAAUGACAUCAUUUGCAUAUCCAUCAAGAGCUGGGCUUCGAGUAUGUUCUGCGAGCUAGAUCCAACCACUUCAUCGAUGAUGAUGACCUUCCCUUCUUUUUCUCCGUGGGCAAUGGCCUCUCUGCAUCGUGUCAGGAUCUUCACGCAAUCCUCGUCGCUCCAGUUAUGCAGCACAUACUACCAAUCCAACAACAAAUUAAGAGCUUCAGCUAGAUUAAGGAGUACAUUAUUUGCUAAAUUACUGCUCAUAAUUCGUAUAUAUAAGAAAACAUGUGUGCCUUUGUAGUCAUAUAGGAAUGAUAAUACCUUAAGUAAAAUGCGAUCAGCAGGUGGAAUGAACUCCAUCAUGUCCCCAGCAACAAACUCCACAUUGUCGGCCUGAGCCGAGACGCCUUGGAUCACAUGUGGGAGGUCAAGAACUGAGCACUUGACGUGUGGGAAGGCCUUGGUAAUGGCCCUCGCCAUCGUACCAGUCCCGCCGGCGACGUCGACCAGCGAGGUUAUCCCGUCGAACACCUCACCACACUCACGGACCACGAGGUCGGCCAGGUACCGGCUGUCGGCCGCCAUGGCCUCGUUGAACACCGAGUUAAACUCGGCGUCGUGGGCAGCAACGCCAUAGGGGGGCCGGCCGUUGGCCAUCACGAACGGCGUGGCCUCGCCGUCGCUCUGGAACCACUGCCCCAGCUGCAGGGCGGAUCCAACAAUCUGCCGCGUAGUAGUCAUGAGAAUGCACGACGACAGCUUCCACGCGCUGCCGCCGUUGAUGCCAGCGUCGUUGACGAGGAGGCGAGACAUUGUGUUUAGGUGGUACACGCAGGUCGCCCCGUCGCCGCCGUUGGCGACAGCCACACCCUCCUCGGCCACAAAGAUUCCUUCCGUGGCUAGCACCUUCAUGAGGCGUGACAAGUAGGGCUGUUUGCUUGGAGGGAGGGGGAGGGUGGCAAGCAGGUCGGGCAAGGAGGCGCUGCCACCACAACGGUGGAGAGCAUCAGCAACUCCAAGCUUGACAGCACUGUGCAAUGCC
rnacentral:lncRNA from 1 species